GAAGUUAUGGAAAACCCCUUUAUAGAUCUACUCAGUAUAGUACUUAGUAACAUUCUGGCAUGGAGAAUGUACUCUUUCACAACACUACUAAAACCUUAGUCAAAUCCAAUUUUAAAGUUGACACGAGGGCAUAGAGAUACUAUCAUCUGGAGAGAAAUUUAGCCAACUUUCCCAUGGGUUUCUGACCACAAGACUUAAAAGGAGUCAAAAAUUAUGAUCGUGGCAUCACAGUAGCUGUGGUCCCAAACAAAAAUGGCAAAUCAUUUCCAUUAUUUCUUCAUUUACGGUGCAUCUUCCCCAAGUUAAAAUGUGAAGAAAACUCGUAACUAAACCAAACAAUUAUUUUCUUGUGAACACAAUACUGAUGAAACUAUUCACAUAAAAACGGAGUUGGUAAGAUGUUAAAACAUUCCACAAGAAUAGAGCAACAAAUAGCUAGUUCGACAUUUAUCGAAAUAGAGUGAAGACUAAUACUUAAAAAAACAAUUCAAUAUCCAAAAGAUAAGAAAGAAAUGGACCUGAAAACUAAGUGAUUCAAUCAAUUCAAAUGUCCAGCAAUUCUACGGAUGGAAACAAAAGACAAUUGCGACCGGAAUCCGACACGACGAUCCUCAAACCGGCAACCUCGAGCACCAAACUAUUUCCCGGAUCUGAGAUUGACCGGACAGCCUCAAAAGGAUAGGGAUAUGAAAGCAAAAACGAACAGAACUCAGGACCUCUCCUUUGGGUAGAAGAACAAGAACAACUCUGUGUAUGUGUCUGUUUCGUGUGUCUGUCCGUAUGAGUUCCAGCGAGUGGAUGGUGAAGGCUGGGUGUGUGUGUUUUGGUGCCGCGACUGAAGUUAGGUGGCUGGUUUGAUGAGAGUAGGAGUCGAAGUGUGGUCUGAUUCGUCGGUUGUCGAAGAGAGCAGGCGUCAAUGGAGGUUUCCAAGUUGAAGUGAGAAGUGUAGGGGCUAGGGUCUUUUUUGGUUAGUAGCAGUAACGAUGGAGGGGGAAGAUGACUUGAAUGGGGUGUGUUGAGGGUGGUCGUUUGGUGGCGGAAGGCUGGCAGCGGCGCUGCUACAUGAAGAGGACGACCUGGGAGAAUUUUUCAGGUCUUGUCUCUCGUCUUCUGUAUAUCUCUAGGCUUUAUUUUUUGUUAUUAGGAUUCUAGGUUAGUUUAAGAAGGGGUCAGGGUCUUGGGCUCGGGUCGACCCCGUUUGGGCUAGAUUGGGAGAACAUUUGGGCUUUUAAAAUGGUUUGACCCAAUUCAAUUUAAAACCAGCCUUUGUCCAAUUUCCUUUUCUUUUUUGUUGUUCUUUUUUUCUUUUUUUAAUUAAUUAAAAACCUAAACUAAAUUCCUAAAUUAAUUCAAAUUAUAAAAAUAAGCUAAUUAUCUAACCAUAAUAUUUAUAAAAAUUAGUUGAUCCUAAAUUAAAAUAGAACUUAAUAACCCAAAAUUUAAAGUUAAGAAUGUACAACAGAGUCAUUUUUUGUGGUUUUCGUUUUAAUAAAGUAACUAACUAAUUAAUUAAUCCUAAAAUGUGAACAAAAUCUAAAUGCAAUGCAUGGUAUUUUUUUGAUUUUUAAUGGAAAUUAAAUAUGUACAAAAAUAAAUAUAGUUAAUAAAUCAUAAAAAUUGGGAAGAAUUAUUUUCUAAUAUUUUAUGGGAGUAAUUCAUCUAGGGCAAAAAGUGUGUGCUCACAGCUCACAUAAGAAUGGUAGCCCAAAAACAACAAGGAGAAAGGUAUUACAACAAGAAGGCCAAAAUACGACCGCUCAAGGUCGGUGAUUACGUCCUUAAAGCUAAAACACAAGCAGCGAAAGAUCCUAAUGAAGGAAAACUUUGAACAAAUUGGGACAGAUCAUACAAAAUCACGGCGGCAUCAAACAAAAGAGAAUUUCAGUUAGAAACAGUGGAAGGAAAGUUACUCCAAAACAAUUGGAAUGUCGCCCAUCUCAAAUACUUUCACUUCAAAAAGGAGGCGCCACUUAAGUCGCACUCUUUUUCCUUCAUUCGGGUUUUGUCCCAAUCGGGUUUUCUCGAUGAGGUUUUUAAUGAGGCAACAAGGGGGACGUCUCAAGGUUCAAAGUAUUGUUCAUUACCCCAUCCGUCGAUGUGUUCUCCAGGCCGAAAAAUGAAGGGACUGGAUAUAGAUAAUCAAAUUCCGUUGUAUGUACAAAGUUGACAUGUGUUUCCUACAAGAAAUAAUCAAAUCUUCGUUGUAUGUACAAAGUCGACAUAUGUUACCUAUAAGAAUAUAAUCGAAUCUCCAUUGUCUGUAUAAAGUCGACAUGCAUAGAGUAUAAGUUCGAUCCCACUCAAACAACGACGGGAUCUUACUUCGAUGACAGUUCGAAGCAACAUCCCAAUAGCCAAGGCCAUCGCCAAAUAUAUGAGUUCGACCCCACUUGAACUAAGACGGGAUCUUCCUUAGACGAUAGUUUGAAGCAAUGGCCAAGGCCAUCGAUGAGAGUGCAAGUUCGACUUCUACGGUGGGAUCCUACUUCGACGACAGUUCAAAGCAACAUCCCAAUGGCCAAGGCCAUCGACGAAAAUAUGAGUUAGAACCCACUCAAACUAUGACGGGAUCUUACUUCGACGAUAGUUCGAAGCAACAUCCCAAUGGCCGAGGCUAUCGACGAGAGCGCAAGUUCGACUUCCACGAUGGGAUCCUACUUCGACGACAGUUUGAAGAAACGUCCCAAUGGCCAAGGCCAUUGACAAAAAUAUGAGUUUGACCACUUCGACGACAGUUCGAAGCAACAUCCCAAUGGCCAAUGCCAUCAAUGAGAGUGCAAGUUUGACUUCCAUGAUGGGAUCUUACUUCGAUGACAGUUCGAAACAACAUCCCAAUGGCUAAGGCCAUCAACGAGAGUACGAGUUCAACUUAGUUCAAAUCAAGACGGGAUCUUACUUCAACGACAGUUCGAAGCAACAUACCAAGGGCCAAAGCCAUUGACAAAAAUGUGAGUUCAACCAUACUCAAACUACGAGGGGAUCCCACUUUGAUGAUCGUUCAAAAGUGACACCCCCAAAGGCUAAAGACAUCAUAAAAAAAGGGGAAAUCGACCUCACCUAAAAGCUAAAUCAGCUUAACAGUUCAACAUGUAUCCCAGACACCAUAAACAUUGCAAAGAACACCUACGAAUUGAAAAAAUAAAUUCCAUAUUGCAUCAAAUGUUACUUACACCUAUCUUUACAAACAGGCUCAGGCAUGCCCCUUACAGAAUCCCCAAAACAAAAAGUAAGUACAAACAAAAGAUUAUACAUCAUCCCCGAUAGGGUAAGAAUCUUCGUACUAAGAGUUAGAAGAAAUAUGGUUUGCAUCAUCAUAGUUGAGGUCUUCCCCAUCAGGUGUAAGAGAGUCAUAUUCGCAUGCCUCACGAGAUGCAUGAGCAUCGAUAUACAUGGCCUGAAGUUCCGCUUCAGUUGCCUACACUUCGGCGUUGAAAUUGUUGUACACGUCAAUAUGGGCCUCACCAUUGACCCACAACUCAUAUAAGCGACAAGCCACAACCUGAUCGGCCGAAGCAUGAGACAUAGAAAGUUGUGAGUGUCAACUUGCAUCCUCCGCUCUCAGUGAGGCCAUUUAUCCAUUCAACGUGAAUAGCUCCACCUCCACCUCUUUAACAUGUCCCUCGAUCCCAACAACCUUAUGCUUAGAGGCCUCCUUCUCCUCGGUCGUUGCCAUCUUAUCAUCACAGAUGCUCAGUUCGCCCUUAAACCCCUCAAUCUCCAUCGCCUUCGUACCCAAUUCAAUGGUCAAACUGGCCACAUUUGUUUGUAAGUUGUCAUUCUCGGUCUUCAACCCCUGCUUAACUCAAGAUCAUCCUUAUUCGCCUUAAGGGAGGCCUCAAGUUCACUAUUAUGGGCGACAACCUUCACAAGCUCCUCAUCUCACUCCUUUAGCUCCUUGACCUUGCGCGCCAGUUGGUCCUCCCUCUAUUUAUUCCUUUACGGAACAACUAAAAUUCAGGAUCCUAAGUAUAAAUAUUGUCCAUCGCACGGAGCUUAGCACGAUACUGUUGAUACUUGGAAGACAUCUUCCCGUAGAUGGUCGUCCUCUUCCUUUCCUGACGCUCACGUCCAUGAUGAGGGUCUGGCGCAAAAGAAAAAGAGAAGUUACAAACAAAAAUAUAGGUCAACAAUCGCCACACAAGCCCAAUGGAAAAAAGGAAAAGAAAGGCGCAUACCCGUAAGGCCAUGCUGGCGACGUUCUAAGAUAACUCCAUGCCACUCAUCGCCCUAACCGCCUCAUUUUCAGGGGCAGUACAUAGAGGAUCUAAAACAGAUGCCACUUGCUCGUAGUUCAACAACUAGUUGUAGUCCCCCGGGAUGACUACUUGACAAUCUGAUCCUUCCUCUUUGGCCUCCACGUGAGUAUGGCGACGUACAAUCUCAUUAACAUCCUCCGUGUCAACAUUUGACCCUGAGCCUUUGCCCUCGACAUGAUGGCCUCUAACGUUGGACGAUGCACCGCCCUUGGCGGAGCUGGCUCCUGGAUAAAUUCCUUUUUUUGGGGGAGAUCUCCCCGGUAAAAUGGCAUCGGCCAUAAAUGUGGGUACAGAUGCCAUCUGUGACGCUCUACUUCUAUCAGCAUCCACGACCACAUCCAUCUCAAGCUCCAUUCUCCUUAUUUUUCUCGACAACGGCUCAUACCCGUUGGAGGAUUCGUCCAAGAGGUGUGGGGUCGGUAUUGAAGAAGCAUCAUCCCUUAUGACCAUGAACUGAGAGGGACCUUCUACUUAAAUCGGUUGAGGACAACUUCUCGAACAGACUCAAUCAAAGUAAACUACAUUCCUGCAAUAACAACGACCUGUUGUAAUGAGGGACUGGCGCCCUCCGCCUGGAAGCUCCUCGACCUACCGUUAGGAAGAGUCAAAUUAAUAGAUGACAAUAUAUAAUCACCGAAGUGGUAAAGUGGAAAAACAUUUACCAGAUGGAAAUUUAGGGCCAUGACGCUUAAAGAAGGCCAAUCUGGGUUUCCGCUGCAUGGGACAACAGAGGUCUACCCAAUCCCUUAUGCCAGCAAUAGGGUCGGGCAGACGUCCCAUAGCUGUAAAAGAGAAGCAUACAAACCUUAUAGUGAAUAUAGAUGAAGGAAGAGUAAAAUGUAGUUUUAUGAACCAAAAAUGCGAUUAUACUGUGAAAUUGACCUAGAAAUUAAUGGAAAUUUAGCUAUAAAUGGAAGAAUUAGGGCUUGGGAUUUUGAGAUUUUAAAUUUGGUAUUUGAAGGGCCAUUUGAGGUCGGAAUAGAGAACUUUUUAUAUGUAUGGACUCGUGGAAGGAUAAGGAAUCCGUUGAUGUAAAAAUUUCUGAGUUUAGAGAAGUGGGCCCGGGGUUUUAUAUUUUUCAAUUGUUUUUGCUUGGGUUUUGUUCCCUUAGCCUAUUGUGACGUAUUCGUUCUGGUUUGGUCAGAUUUGAUAGGCGAGGAGGCCGAUUUGAGAGGCAAGGGCAUAACGAGCUAGAGCGUUGGCCGGUCUGAGGUGAUUAAUGAAUGUAAAUGAUAUCUUGAGGGUUUGAAACCCCGGAUUGCACAUCAUAGUGUUAUAUUGAGGUGAGGCAACGCUUGAUGAUGAGUGCGGGGUCGUUUACUAUUGGUGAUUAUGACGUGGUCCGUCUUGAGUGAUGUUUUACACGUAUUUGAUUGAAUCUUAUUUGUUAUCAUCAUUAUUUGGACUGAUUGUCAUAUUUGGGCUUCACCAACUAUUUGAUCCCUUCUGGGAGUUUUUAUCAUUAUUUUCUCAAUGUUUGGAUUUACUAUUUGAACUCUGUCGUACCGUUUUCUACUAUCUUACAAUUCAGCCAUUUUUACUUGAUUUUUGAAAUUUAAAUGGUAUUUCUAAUGAUGUUUUGGGCUGAGAACUGCCGUUUUCCUAAAUUACCGAGGGGCUUAUAUGAUUUCAGGACUGAUUAUGGCCAAGGUCCAGGUAUGAGCAUACUAGGGGAUCGGGAUGCGCGCUGCAGCAGUGUUAUACUGAUAUUGAUAUGAGGUCGAGGGCCUAGAUUGGUGCCACGAGAUGGCUUGUUAUUGCGCUAGGGCCGUAAGGGCCUCUCCCAAAGUCUGCACACCCCCAAUGAGCACCGUCGACGAUAAAUAAAUGGAAGCAUGCUUCAGUGGGUACUAUAGGGUACCGUUAUAUGUGUUGAUUUUUUCCUUAUAUGUAUGUUACUUAAUUGCUUAUCUGUUGUAGCAUUUCCAUAUUUUUGAUUUCAUUGGUUUAUUGCUUUUAUAUUUCUUGUUAUAAACUGCCGCAUUAUAGAUUACUCUGUGUUUCUCCAUGAUUUCUUAUUCUCAGUCGUUACUUAUGUUUAUUACUCACUGGGUCAGAGUACUCACAUUACUCUCUGCACCUUGCGUGCAGAUCCAGGCGCAUUUGAGGGUGUGUGAGGAUUUUUCAGUUGAGCAGCCAUUAUCCGGGAGCAUCGAGGUAGCUGCAUGGCGUCCGUAGCCCUGAUCUCUCCCUUCUAUCCUCUUAUUUUAUCCGCAUUGUUUAGAUUGAUAUGUAUUAGGCUAUUAAACUUGUAUUAGAGGCUCAGACUUGUGACACCGGAUCUAUAUAGGCUAUGUAGUAUUAUUAUUCUUUGGAAAUUCCACAUGUUUAACCCUUGUUUCAGACUUUUAAUAUGAUAAUUUGGUAAUCUAACUAUGUUAGCUAGUAAUGAACUAUAUAAGGAAUGGGUUGAGGUUGUUAAUUGGUCAGGCUUGCCUAGCAGUAUUUUGGGCGCCAUCACGACCGGGAUUGGGGUCGUGACAAGUUGGUAUCAGAAUCUAGGUUACAUAGGUCUCGCAAUUCAUGAGCCAGUUUAUUAGAGUCUCGCGGAACGGUACAGAGACAUAUGUAUUUAUUCUCGAUAGGCUGCAGAACCUUUAGUAAAAACUUCAUAUUCUUGAAAUUCUUGUCAUGCGACUUUGUUGAUCUGAGAAAUAAACUUAUGUUAUUUUAUUCUCUCAGAGAUGGUGAGGACGCGAGCUACCGGACGAGGUGGACGACCACCAGUGCCACCCACUGAGGCCACCAUAGGCAGUGGACGCGGUGUUAGACAUUGAGAGGCAGAGUAGUGAGGGAAACACCUGUUGAUCAACCAGCUGCCCCAGCUCCGGAUAAGGCUCUAGCAGCACCAGUUCAGGCACCAGCUGUGCCCACUGUGAUCCCGGGUCUUCAAGAGGCCUUGAUACAAAUCUUACCAGUUGUACUGUCCUCGCUCAGGUAGUUUCAACCACAACCACAACAGCUAUUUCAUAGGUUAGGGGAGGCAAUCAGACCCCCAUUACUCGCACACCUAAUCAGGUAGUGUAGGGAUUAUAGACACUGGAAGCACCUUCAGCUCAGUCAGUUACACCAAUUCAGGAGUUUGUAGUUCCAUCUAUGUCGUAGGAUAAGCAGUAUCGUAUAGAGAGGUUUGGUAGACUCCAGACUCAUUCAUUCAAUGGUGCUGAGGGAGAGGAUGCCCAGGGUUUUCUUGACAAGUGUCAGUGGAUGCUCCGUACAGCCAGGAUUCUUGAGUCGACUGGUGUGGCAUUUACCACCUCUCAGUUCUCGGGGGCUGUUUUUACUUGGUGGGAGGAUUUUGAGAGAUGUAGGUCUGUCAGUGUAGCUCUCCUUUCUUGGCAGCAGUUCUCUGCUCUCUUCUUGGAGAAGUAUGUACCGCAGUCCCGCAGAGAGGAGCUGCAUAGAUAGUUUGAGUGGUUGAUGCAAGGGGAUAUGACCGCGACCCAAUAUGAGAUAAGGUUUUUUGAGUUUACUCGUCAUGCCAUUUGGAUUAUUCCGAUGGAUCGUGAGAGGAUCAGGAGAUUUAUAGAUGGCCUUAACUACCAUCUCUGUAUUCUAAUGUCUAAAGAAAGAGUAUUGGGUGCUACGUUCGAGAAGGUGGUUGAUAUCCCUUAUGAGAUUGAGACGGUUUGUCGUAGGGAGAGAGAGGAGAGGGAGGCCAAAAGGCCUCAAGGAUCGGGAAGUCUCAGUGGUACUUUGUCGAGGGGCUAGUUUUAGCAUGGUAAAGGUUAUUCUUUCAGGACUACUCAGUCGGCCCGUCCAGAGUAUUGCAGGGCAUCUUCAGGCUGUCGUCGUCAUGGAUCUUAGUAGGGCCACUCUUCACUCAGCACUCUCCUAGCUAUGUGCCCCAUCAGUCCAGGGUUCUUCCGUGGCAGGUCCUUCUACUAGUCAUUCUGGUGCCAGGGGUUCCCUUCAAUCCCCAUCUCCAGCGCGGGGUAGUUGCUAUGAGUGCGGAGAGUAUGGGCAUAUGAGGAGGCAGUGUCCUUGACUUUGUGAUGGUCAGUUCCAGCAUAGGGGUCAGUCCUUGACUUCUGCUCUAGUUGCUUCACCACCCACCCAGCCAACUAGGGGUGGAGGUCAGGAAGUCAGGGGUCUCCCUAGAGAGAGAGGUCGAUCAGGCGGUGGCCACGCUCGUUUCUAUGCUAUUCCAGGUAGGAUAGAUGCCAUUGCUUAAGAUGUUGUCAUUACAGGUAUUGUUUCAGUCUGCCACAAAGAUGCCUCUUUAUUAUUUGAUCUCGAUUCUACCUAUUCAUAUGUGUCCUCAUAUUUUAUUCAUUAUUUGGGUAUGCCCCGGGAGUUUCUUACUUUACCCAUUCAUGUGUCUACGCCGAUGGGCGAUAAUGUUAUUGUGGACCGCGUGCACCGGUCAUGUGUUGUGACUAUUGGGGAUCUGUAGACUCGAGUGGAUCUAUUACUAUUAAGCAUGGUAGAAUUUGAUGUUAUUUUGGGCAUGGAUUGGCUAUCUUCGUGAUGCUGUUCUAGACUGUCAUGCUAAGACAGUCACAUUGGCUAUGCAGGGUGUACACGGAUCGAGUGGCAUGGUGUGACUGAUUAUGUUCCUAGUAGAGUGAUAUCUUUCUUGAAGGCCCAACAUAUGGUUGGGAAGGGUUGUCUGUCAUAUCUAGUGUUUGUGAGGGAUGUUAGAGUUGAGACUCCUAGUAUCGAUUAUGUUCCAGUUGUAAGGGAUUUUUCCGAUGUAUUUCCUGCAGACUUAUCGGGCAUGCCACCGGAUAGGGAUAUUAAUUUUGGGAUUGACCUGGUGUCGGGCACUCAACCCAUCUCUAUUCCGCCAUGUCGUAUGGCACCAAUGGAGUCGAAAGAAUUUACGUAGCAGCUUCAGGAACUCCUAGAUAAGGGGUUCAUUCGGCCUAGUGUGUCAUCGUGGGGUACGCCCUUUCUGUUUGUGAAGAAGAAGGAUGGCACAAUGAGAAUGUGCAUUGAUUACAGGAAAUUGAACAAAAUAACCAUCAAGAAAAAGUAUCCCCUGCCUCGCAUAGAUGAUUUAUUUCACCAACUCCAGGGAGCGAGGGUGUUCUCUAAGAUUGAUCUCCGUUUGGGCUAUCACCAAUUGAAGAUUAGGGAUUCUGGUAUUCCUAAGUCUGCUUUCAGGACUAGAUAUGGUCAUUACGAGUUUCUUGUCAUGCCUUUCGGGCAAACCAAUGCCUUAACAGCAUUCAUGCAUCUAAUGAAACUCCUAGAUAAGGGGUUCAUUCGGCCUAGUGUGUCAUCGUGGGGUACGCCCUUUCUGUUUGUGAAGAAGAAGGAUGGCACAAUGAGAAUGUGCAUUGAUUACAGGAAAUUGAACAAGGUAACAAAAGAACAAGUAUCCCUUAUCUCGUAUUUAUGAUUUAUUCGACCAGCUUUAUGGAGUGAGGUUGUUCUCCAAGAUUGAUCUCCGUUCGGGCUAUCAUCACUUGAAGAUCAGGGAUUCGGAUAUUCCUAUGACUGCUUUCAGGACUAGAUAUGGUCACUAUGAGUUUCUUGUCAUGUCUUUCGGACUAACCAAUGCCCCAGCAUCAUUCAUGCAUUUGAUUAAUAGUGUCUUUCGUCCUUAUCUAGAUUAUUUUGUUAUCGUAUUCAUUGAUGAUAUUCUAGUGUACUCGCGUAGUCAGGAGGAGCAUGUGGAGAAUUUAUGAGUUGUAUUGUAGAGAUUGGGGGAGAAGAGACUUUAUGCAAAGUUCUCCAAGUGUGAGUUUUGGCUCGGUUCAGUGGCUUUCCUAGGACACGUGCUAUCCAGCAAGGGUAUUCAGGUGGAUCCAAAUAAGAUAGAGACGGUUCAGAGUCGGCCUAGACCAUCCUCCGCCACAGAUUCGUAGCUUUCUUGGGCUGGUAGGCUAUCAUCGCCGGUUUGUUCAAGGAUUCUCAUCCAUUACAUUGCCCUUGACCAAAUUGACGUAGAAGGGUACUCCAUUUGUAUGGUUGGACGAGUAUGAGGAGAACUUUGAGAAGCUCAUGACAGCUUUGACUACAACUCCAGUAUUGGUUUUGCCAUCAGCUUCAGGUUCAUAAACCAUAUAUUGUGAUGCUUCGAGAGUUGGGAUUGGUUAUGUAUUGAUGCAGGAGGGUUGGGUUAUUGCUUAUGCUUCUCGUUAGUUGAAGCCCUAUGAGAAGAACUACCAUGUUCAUGAUUUGGAGUUGGCUGCCAUAGUUCAUGCAUUGACGAUUUGGAGGCACUACUUCUAUGGAGUAUCUUCUGAGGUAUUCACCGAUCAUCGCAGUCUUCAACAUUUGUUCAAGCAAAACGAAUUUGAGGCAGCGGAGGUGGAUAGAGUUGCCUAAGGAUUAUGAUAUUACUAUUCUGUACCAUCUGGGAAAGUCCAGUGUGGUAGCCGAUGCUUUGAGCCGAAAGGCGGUGAGUAUGGGGAGUUUGGCAUAUAUUCCAGUUGGGAGAGGCCCUUUGUAGUUGAUGUUCAAGACUUGGCCAAUCGAUUUUUCAGAUUAGAUAUUUCGGAGCCCAGUCGGGUGUCGGCUUGUGUGGUUUCUCGGUCUUUCUUGUACAAUCGCAUCAGAGAGCGCCAAUAUGAUGAUCUUCAUUUGCUUGUCCUUAGCAAUAGAGUUCAGGAUGAUGAUUCCAUAGAUGUGACCAUAGGUGGUGAUGGCAUGUAGAGGAUGCAGAGCCAGAUCUGUGUGCAUAAAAUGGAUGGGAUUAGAGAGUUCAUUCUAAAAUAGGCCCAUAACUCGCGGUAUUAUAUUCAUCCGAGUGCCGCGAAUAUGUAUCAGGAUUUGAGGCAGCACUAAUGGUGGAGAAGAAUGAAGAAAGAUAUUGUGGGAUUUAUUGCUCAGUGUCUCAAUUGUCAACAGGUGAAAUAUGAGCAUCAAAGACAGUGGCUUGCUUCAGUAGAUGGAAAUUCCCAAGUGGAAGUGGGAGAGGAUCACUAUGGACUUUGUUGUUGGACUUCCUUGAACUUUGAAGAAAUUUGAUGAUAUUUGGGUGAUUCUGUAUUGGUUGAUCAAGUCCGCACACUUCAUUCAUGUGUGUACUACCUAUUCUUCAUAGUGGUUGGCAGGGAAAUUGUUCGGUUGCAUGGUGUUCCGGCUUCCAUCAUCUCACAUAGAGGUACUCAGUUUACUUUGCAAUUUUGGAGAGUCGUGUAGAGAGAGUUGGGUACUCAGGUAGAUUUAAGCACAGCAUUUCAUCCUCAGAUGGAUGGAUAGUCCAAGUGUAAUAUUCAGAUACUGGAGGACAUGUUGUGUGCUUCUGUUACUAAUUUUGUAGGUUCAUGUGAUGAGUUCUUAUCGCUUGUAGAGUUUUCCUACAAAGACAUCUACCAGUCGAGCAUUCAGAUGGCUCCGUAUGAGGUUUUGUAUGGGAGACGGUGUAGAUCUCCAGUUGGUUUUCGAGCCCAGAGAGGCUAGGCUAUUGGGGACAGAUUUGGUUCAAGAUGCCUUAGAGAAGGUGAAGGUGAUUCAGGAGAGUCUUCGUACAACGCAGUCACGUCAAAAGGGUUACGCGGAUCGGAAGGUUCGAGAUGUGUCCUACAUGGUUGGUGAGAAGGUCUUGUUGAAGGUUUCUCCCAUGAAGGGUGUUAUGAGAUUUUGAAAGAAAGGGAAGUUGAGUCCACGGUUCAUUGAGGCUUUUGAGGUACUUAGGAGGAUUUGGGAGGUGUAUUAUAUGCUCUUUGCCACCUAGCUUGUCGGGUGUGCAUCCGGUAUUUCAUGUUUCUAUGCUUUGAUGUUGGGGAUCCGUCUCAUGUUUUGGACUUCAGCACGGUUCAGUUGGAUGAUGAUUUGACCUUUGAUGUGGAGCCAUUGGCUAUUAUGGGUCAUAGGUUUCGGAAGUUCAAGUCGAAGUAAAUAGCUUCAGUGAAGGUGUAGGGGAGAGAUCGGCCCGUGGAAGAGGCUACGUGGGAGACCGAGCGAAUGAUGCAGAGCAGAUAUCCUCACAUGCUUGAGGCUUCAGGUAUGUUUCUUGACUCGUUCUAGGAUGAAUGUUUGUUUAAGUUGGGGAGGAUGUGAUUACCGGACCAGUCGUCUCAUGAGUUACCGCCCUGUUUCCCCCAUUUCUGCUUCUUUAUGCUUCGUUAUCCUUGUCUUAUGUGGUCGAGUUGAUUUGGUUUGCGUUGGAGUGGAAUUGGUAAUAAAUGAGACACUUAGUCUCUUUUGAGAAGGCUUAAGUUGGAAAAGUCAACCUGACGUUGACUUAUGAGUUAGAGGGCUCGGAUGUGAGUUCUGAUGGUUCGGUUAGGAGGUUAUUUGUGACUUAGGAGUGUGAUCGGAAAUGGUUUUGGAGGUCCGCUGUAGAAUUAGGCUUGAAUUGGCAAAGUUAGUAUUUUGGCAAUUUUUUCUUGAUAGGUAAGGUUUUGAUAUGGGGGGUCAGAAUGGAAUUCCGAGAGUUGAUGUAGCUUUGUUAUGUGAUUUGGGAUAUGAGUGUAAAAUUUCCGGUCAUUCGGAGAAGGUUUGGUUGGGGUUUUGUUCAAAAGCAUGUUUUGGAAGCUUUUGGAAAACUUAGGCUUGAAUUCGAUGUGAAUUGAUGGAUUUGAGGUUGUUCGGGGUGUUUUGAUGAUUGGAACAAGUUUGUAUGAGGUUUUAGGAUGUGUUGGUACUUUUGGUUGAGGUCUUGGGGGCCUCGAGGUGAUUUCGGAUGGCUAACGGGAAGUUUUGAGACUUAAGGAAUUGCAAAAAUUGCAACAGCAGUUGCUAGCGUAUUUUGGCCUUCGUGAUCGCGUAUGGUCUCUCGUGAUUGCAUAGAAGUAUUUUUGGAAGUCUAGGUUAAUGCUCAUCGCUUUCGCAUUAUUGGGUUCGCAAUCGCAGAAGGUUAGUUAUUGGUGCUUCAUGUUCGCAGGUGAUAGUUCGCGUUCGCGUAGGAGUCUGUGGAGUCCAGGUGAGAUUGUUCUUCACGUUCGAAUGGAGUGGGCCACGUUUGCGUAGUUGUGGAAGUUGAAGCAUCACGUUCGUGGUUGUUUGGUCGCGUUCGCAUAGGUCAUUUGUGAAGCCUUGAAUCUUUAAUGCUUCGCAUCGCGUGACCUAGGUCGCGAUCGCGAUGAAGGAAUUUCAGGAGCUGGGCAGAAAGUUUUUAAACAUUUCAUCCACGAGUCUUAGAUAUUUUUCCACCAUUGUUGAGUAAUUUGAGAUCUCUUUGGGGGAAAUUGAAGAGGGAUUCAAGGAGGAUUGAUUGAAGGUAAGUUUUUCGAACCAAAAACAUGAUUAUAUUAUGAAAUUGACCAAAAUAUUCAUGGAAAUUUAGCUAUAAAUGGAAGAACUAGGGCUUGGAAUUUUGAGAUUUUAAAUUGGGAUUUGAAAGGCCAUUUUGAGGUUAGAAUUGAGAACUUUUGAUAUGUAUGGACUCGUGGAAGGAUAAGGUAUUCGUUGAUGUGAAAAUUUCUAUGUUUCGAGAAGUGGGCCCGGGGCUCGAAUUUUGCUAAUUCUGGGAUUUUUGAUAUUUCGAAUUUUUUCACUUGGGUUUUGUUCCCUUAGCCUAUUGUGAUGUAUUCGUUCUGGUUUUGGUCAAAUUCGACAUGCGAGGAGGCCGAUUUGAGAGUUAAGGUCAUAGCGAGCUAGAGUUUUGGCUGGUUUGAGGUGAGUAAUGAAUGUAAAUGAUGUCCUGAGGGUUUGAAAUCCCGGAUUUCACAUCAUGGUGCUAUAUUGAGGUGAGACACAUGUUUGAUGAUGAGUGUGGGCUCGUUUACUAAUUAGAAUUGUGACUUGGUCCGUCCCGAGUGAUGUUUUACCGCGUAUUUGAUUGAAGCUUAUUUGUUAUCAUCAUUAUAUGGACUGACUGAUAUAUUUGGGUUUCAUGCUUACUAUUUGAACACUUCUUGGAGUUUUUAUCACUAUUUCCUCACUAUUUGGAUUUACUACUUGAACUUAGUCGUACCGUUUUCUACUAUCUUACAACUCAACCAAUUUUACUCGAUUUUUGAAAAUUAAAUGGUAUUUCUAAGGACGUUUUAGGCUGAGAACUAUUGUUUUCCUAAAUGCCUAAGGGGAUUAUAUGAUUUCUGGACUGAGUAUUUCCAAGGGCCAGUUGUGAGGAUACUAUGGGAUCGGGCUGCGCGCCGCAUCAGUGUUAUACUGUUAUUGAUAUGAGGCCAAGGGCCUAAAUUGGUGCCACGAUAUGGCUUGUUAUUGCGCUUAGUCCGUAAAGGUCCCCUCUGGAGUCUGCACACCCCCAAUGAGCAUCGUCGAUGAUAAAGAAAUGGAUCGGGUUGCACGCCGCAGCGGGUACUAUAGGGUACCGUUCUAUGUGUUGAUUUUUUUUCUUUAUAUGUUUGUCACUUAACUGCUUAUCUAUUGUAGCAUUUCCAUAUUUUUGAUUUCUUUGGUUUAUCGCUUUUGUUUUAAAUUGCCGCAUUAUAGAUUACUAUGUGUUUCUCCAUGAUUUCUUAUUCUCAGUCAUUAUUUAUAUUUAUUUCUCACUGGAUCGGAGUACCCAUUACUCCCUGCACCUUGCGUGCAGAUCCUGGUGCAUCUGAGGCUGAGUGACUAUUUUCAGUUGAGCAGCGCAAUAUCCGGGAGCAUCGAGGUGGCUGCUUGGCGUCCGCACCCCUGAUCUCUCCCUUGUGUCCUCUUAUUUUAUCCGCGUUCCCUAGAUUGAUAUGUAUUAGGUUAUUAAACUUGUAUUAGAGGCUCAGACUUGUGACACCGGAUCUAUAUGGGCUAUGUAAUAGUAUUACCCUUUUGAAAUUUCGCAUGUUUUACUGUUGUUUCAGACUUUUAAUAUGAUGAUUUGGUAAUCUAACUGUGUUAGCUAAUAAAGAACUAUAUAAGGAAUGGUUUGAGGUUGUUAAUUGGUCAGGCUUGCCUAGCAGUGUGUUGAGCACCAUCACAAUCAGGGUUGGGGUCGUGACACAUUGAGUUCGAGAUGGCUGGAAAUUGUGCAUAAGAAACGAUAUUAUUUAUUGAGCUGACAACGUCUUCCUUGUUUGAGUACACUUUUACUUGUCUGUGUUCCAGCUAUAUUGGUGUUAAUUUAUUUGAUUAUCUUCGUUUCCACCCGUGUUUCUCUUUAUUGUUUAUACUGAUUGUAGUUUGUUCUUUCCCUAUUGUUGAUAUUACUAUGUCAUUUCUAGGUUGAUAGUUUAUUAUCAAAUCCUAUUCAAUUUAUUUGACCAAUAGGUGUCUGGACAGCUCCUUAUCACUACCUCACCAAGGUUAGUCUUGAUAGUUACUGGGCACCACCGUGGUAUGCUCAUAUUAUACUUCUGUAUAUUUUUGUGUACAGGUCCAGCUAUUUGAUCGUUAGUAGCUGUGCGGGUCAUUGCGGUGGUGAUUCAAGGUAAAUCUGAUGUUCCCGGGCCUCAGAGUCACCUUCUUUUGUACUUAUUUCCAUUUGUUCCUUUUGUUUUGGAGCAGUGAUGUAUUUAUUUUGUGUAACUAUUCUUAGAAAGGCUUGUGAUUUAUACCAUCAAUUUUGAAAAUUAUAAUUUGUUAAGAGUUAUUUAAAUUAAAAUACGCAAAUUUAAAUGUUAUCUUAGUUAAUGUUAGGCUUAUCUAGUUUAGAGAUAAGGUGCCAUCACCACUGCUUCGGGGGAAUUUUUGGGUCAUGACAUACAUAUAACUCUUGAAUCCAUUAAACCCAUUCUUGGGAGUCAUUCACUCUGCACAGCUUUUAAUUACACUGAUCAGAUGAACCGAACGACAUGUGCCCCAUUUAGAACAACAACACAUAUGGAAGUAACGUCACCUCAAUGCAACCAAAUUAAUUCCUGCUCUAUGUGUCGUACAUCCUUCACCAUUAACAACUCCAUUCAUUCCGUGGUUCUUAUACACCCAUAAAGUAUGACAGAACCUUUAUUAACGUUUUUCUUUACUCGAGCCAUCCUUGAUCUCAACCCCUGUAAGCCACAACUAAUUCACUGAUAAUCCUCAAACCGAAUCCAAUACAACAUAUAGACGUGCAGUCAACUAAUCAAUAACAGACUCCCUCACUUGGCUCAAUGCCAUAGGUCAAAACAUACAGAACUCACAAUGCCCAUACUACUACUGGCAUAAUACCAUGGUGAGGUUAAACUAAGUUUUUUAUAAACUCGUGCAACACAAAUCAUCUAGUACGUUAAAUCAUCUGCAAAAUUCUAACCACUUAUCAUUUGGAAUUUUGUAGAAAAAAAAAAGAUAUGCCCAUUAUACCAAACAAUGUCUGUAAAGUGAAAAUAAAAUUUGUACAUCGCGAUUGCAAGGUAUUGGCUACGUUCGUGAUGAAGGUAAAUGAUGUUGUAACUUUUGCUUAUCACGAUCGCAUGGAUAAUGAUUGAGAUCUCUAAAAAGGAGGCUAGGUAGGUGUAUUAAACACCUAAUUGGGUGAUUUUAAGUUCAUUUCAUCACUUUUAAGUUCUUGGAGCUCAUGUGGGGCGAUUCUUGAAGAUGGUUUUCGCCAUAUAUUAUAAGGCAAGUUAUUCCUGCUUGUUUUGAGUUAAAUACAAGGGUUAUAUAUGGAUCUUAAUACGGAAAUUUGAUAGAAAUAAUGGAAUUUUUGUAGAAAACCUAGAAAUGUUAUUUUUAGAUUUUGACCUCAAAAUUGGACAUGAAAUUAGGAAUAAAUUAAAUAAUUGAGUUCGUGGUAUUAUGGGUAAUAUUUAUCUUCAAAAUAUUUUGGAAUCCAGGCACGUGAGAUCGAAGGUUGACUUUGUUGACUUUUCAAGCGGAGUUAGGAAUCAUUAUAAAUUGUUAAAAUUGUAAGAAUUAGAGUAUAUUUUGAUUGAUUUUCACAUUUUUUAACUUGUUUCGAAGAACCUAAAGGUUUAAGAUUGGGAGUUUUAUAAAAAGAGUAAUAGCAUAUAAAAAGAGGUAGGAACAAAUUUAAAACAGUUUGGAUUUCUUAAAAGAAGACUACCAUAACAGAAUUUGGAACACAGAAACAUGUUGGCAUAACGACAUUAAAAAAACAAGCAAGGGUGGAAAAGUACACAGUUUCAAACAGAUCAAGUCAAAAAAGACCUAAUUACACUAAGUGUGCAUGCUAACAUUUAGGACAACCUUGUUUAAUCACAGAAAUAUUUAGGCAAAGUGUUAAGGCAAACAAUCAUAUUAUCAUAUGAAUCCAUAGGGAUACAAGACCUCUUAGCAGGGCAUAUGAAUUAGGUAACAAUACAAGUUUGUAAAGUUAGGAUUGAUGAACUAAUUGCAUGCUAGUGGUAUCCUAAGGAUACUAAGUUCAGAACAGGUUCAGGACCAGCAAACAGUAUGCAUGAGACAAGUUAAAACAUUAACCUAGGUUUUAAGAAAAUCCAUAUUAUUCAAAGAUAAAUAAUCUCAGAACUACAGUACCAACAAUAGAACUAAAAUAGAAUCAUAUAGACAUGCAAAAUCAUGCUCAGAAUGGACUUUAAACAUUCUGGAUUGUAAACAUAGUUCAGGGAUACAUAAAAACGAAAUGACAAAGGAUAGUCAUUUACUAGUUAAGCAAGCAAACCAGAAUAAUACCAUAGAGUUGAGAGUCCAAAAUAUUUGGCCGGCCAAGACCAGUAGUAAACAAGAGAGAGCGGAAUAUUAUAGAAAUAAGCCAUAGAUUUCUUAGUAAGAGUAUUGAGAUUUCGAGUCUCUCUAAAGGGGAAAGGGAAAAAGGUUUAAAUAGUACAAGACUAAGCACAUAAAUAUAUCAAUAAUCAAUCAAGGAAACAUCUAGUCACUUAAGGAAAGAAAACUCAUAACCUUAUCUAAGGUAAGCCAAAAGUAACAAGUUCAUAGAUGCGUAAAACAUAGAGUCAGAGAUUUUAGUACGGUAAUUAAGGAUUUAAACAGAUUUGAGGAAUCAAAGAUUCCUAAGUUUAAGGUAAGUGAAACUGAUCAACAUUUAACGGUACAAAACAUAUAGACAGAAUCACUAAAGGAAACAGCGAAAGAAAGAAUCGAAAACUCUAAUUUUUAUGGUGAGUAAAAUUAGUCCGAAAUUAAUGGCAAGAGUUAUAAUAAAGAUGCAUCGAGACGUAUAAAUGGAAUAAAAGAUUGGAUUAAAUUUGGUUCGAUUUCAAAAAAUCAAAACCCUAAUUUUUGGGUAAGUAAAAAUUAGUUAAAAAUAUCUACGAAAAAUCAUAAGAGAGCUGCACAUAGAUAGAUAUACAAAAGCAUUGUAGAGAAAUAUUUAACAAAAAUAGAAAAACUAUAAUAGAUCUUGAAAGAUCUAAACCCUAGCUUUAGGGAAAAUGAAGAAUCGAGAAAAUCUCAAAGAUUUAUACCAGAAAGAGACCAAAAAUGAACACAGAUGGAAAGAAGCAAAGAUCUGAACCAGAUUUGGUUCGAAAUAGGAGAGAUCUGCUUGCUAUGUUAGGUAAACAAUUAUAUAACACCAUAAAUGGAUUGCCAGUAGCGAGACAAAAUGAAUAAGGUAAGAGGAUCACUGAUGGAUUCCAUAUCUAGGUUGGAAUCAAAAGGGGAAAUGGGGUUACGACGCUAGGGUUUCUUCAGGGAUGAGAGACGAGAGUGUUUUUAGGUGCGGGGGUGUUUCAUUAGGUUUAAAGAUGCGGUGUGAAUAUGAGCCAUUUAUCUUGAGAGAUCAAUGGCUGGGAUUAAAGAUAAACUCAUCGGGUCAUAUAAAAUGGGUACCAACCAGGUUUUAGUAAGGGACUGUUUGGUUUGGGCUCAGGAGCUAUUGUGUUGGUAUAAAGGUAUUUUUAAGCUAAUAUACCCCUAGGGAGGCUUCCUAGUGGCUAAUAUAUAAAUAAAAUCCCGAACAAGGGUCCAAAAUAUACAAUGUGUCCAAAAGAGUAUAUAAACUGAAUGAAUCUACUUGCUACUACUAAAGAUAGAAAAUAAGCAAAAACUACACCAGCUAUUACAUCAUGUCUUGCAGCAUAAGUCCAUCUCAUGUUCAUGUAUGUGGAUCUAAAAGACAAUGGCAAAUACAAGCUGCACCAAUAAAACUCUCACCAGGUGCCAAAGUAUGAAAUCCAAAGACUAAAUUGAAUACCAAUCCAUAGCACAAACAGUUUGAACUCAACACUCUACUGAUUCAAACAUGAAUCAAAUUCUUCAAAUGCUUCCAUGUCUUAUAUAUCUUGCCUACUGCAGUAUCAUUAUCAGAAUGAGUGUGUAAAUAAACUAAUACCACUGAAAAAUGAUAAUACAGUACACAAUCUAAUACCAACCAAAUCUGAAGCCAAAUCCAUAUCAGAAGAAACAAAAAUUUUGACUCUAUAUGCCAUUGUAAAGCUGCAACUUCCAUCUUAUGUAUUGCUACAUAUGAUUCCCAGAAUAGCCACAGAUUCAUAUGUGUCAUACCAAACCUGCACAAUGCUAACAGCAGCAAAAAGAUUGUCUAUGCAAAGCACAAACUAGCUGAUCCUUCUAAUAUGCAGAUCAGCAGAAAACACUGAAUAUAUAUGUGUUGGACCAUCAAGGAUUACACUAGGAUUUCAAUGAUAUAUAAGUAAUUUCCACAUCCUUAAACUGCCCAGAAUUAAUAGCAGAAUGACCAAGAAAGUUGCUAUGCAAUGCACACCACAACUGCCCCUCAUAUAUUCCAAAAUGUGAUCAUUACUAAGAGCUUCCCAAUUUCCUACCACAACCUGUAUAUCAAUCAUUUUGUACCCUGAUAAAUAGUCCCCAGGCUGAGCAUGAAACCAUGCUAAUACCACGGAGUAACCAUUCAACAAAGUACAAAAAAACUUAGGAAGAGGUUGAGGCAUAUCUACUGAUAUUGUGCUCAUCAGUCUGGUGCUCUCCUUUUGACAAUCCUAACUUUAAGGUUAGGAACUUGAGCUUUGUCCAUGUUGAUUAGGACCCUUCCUUCAGAUGGUAACUAUUGGAAAGAAUUAAAUAUGAUUGUACCUGCAAAAGAAAAAACAAGGUUAGCUAAAUAAUCUGCCACUUUGUGCCCUCCCUCAUCACAUGUUGGGACAACACAUUGUAUGUAUCCUUGAUCUCCUUAAUCCUCCUCACUUCUGCACCUAUACUCUAUGGUGUCCCCCACUCAUUAUCAAUGAUCUUUUUCAUCACAAAAGAGUUUGUUUCCAUUAUAAAAGGGUGCAAUUGCUUUUCCACACAAAAAGCCAAUCCUUCUAUAAUUGCCUUUGCUUCUGCUACUAUGUUUGUUGUCAUCCCUAUCUCCUUUGCCUUAGAAUACACUAAAUCUCCUUCAUGAUCUCUUACGCAGAAUCCAUAUGAACUAGGACCCGGAUUGCCUUUUGAAGCUCCAUCAGUAUUACACUUAUACCAUCCUACAUAUGGAAUCUGCCAUGUUAUCCUCUUGGUGACUACAACUGGCUUGUAAUUCUCAAAACACCUAAUCAUAUGAGGCCUUAACAGAUGUAUAUUAGUCAGCCAAGGGUAUCUAGUUUUGGAUAGAUAAUAUUAGGUUUUGUUCACUUUAUUAAUCACCAUACUGCAAGACACAGCUCCACUAUAUUUCAUUGUAUUUCUCCUCUUCCAGAAUUCCCAUAAUAUCACAACUGGAGCAACAUAAUACAAUGGCUUAAGUUUAGGACAACAUUUAGCACUCCACCAUCAUCUUACAACCCGACGCAUUUGAAUCAAAUUUAUUCCCUGUCCUGCAGCUUCAAUGAAUGUUUUCCACACCUUCAUUGCAGUUUCACUUGUUCGUAAUAAAUGCUGGAAAGAAUCUUCCUUUGGUGAGCUAAAACACCAACAUCUUGAUACUAACAUCUGUCCCCCUCUUCUCCAUAUCAUCUGUUUGAAUUUUUCCCUACCAAACUCUCCACAGGAAGAAGGAAAUUUUGAAGGGUAAUCCUUUAGUCCAUAUCUUAAGAAACUCAGGAUUGACUGGUUCUCUAUGUCUCAAGAUGCUCCAAGCAUUGUUCGCAAUAAUUUUACCUGAAGGAGUGGGCAUCCAAAUUGGCUUUUCCCAGCAUUCUGUAUCUCCUACAUAGUCAAUUUCCUCUCUAAUAUGAUCAACAAUAUCUGGUGGAAAAGUGUGAUCCAGCAGGUGAUCAUUCCAAUGUUCCUCCUCUCUCAAUUCAGCAACCUCUUGCAAUUCUUCAUUAAUGUUAAAUUCUGGAGGUAUAACAUGAUAUAGAGCUCCCAUACUUGUCCAAUUUUCAUGCCAUACAUUAGUUGAUCCUCUAUGCAUCUCCCACCGUAUCUCAUGCUCAAUAUCCUCUCUUGCCUCUAACAUCUUCCUCCAUACAUGUGAUCCUUUUUCUAAAUUGAACCAUUGUUGGUAAUUCCUUCUUACCAUAUUUGUUCCAUAUAAAGUUAGCCCAUAGAGUCUUGGUAGUUCUAAACCUCCACCACAGUUUUGCAAACAAUGCAUUAGAAACAUCAGUCAAGGAUCUAAAACCUACACAUCCCUCUUCUUUAGGAAGGCAUAGAUUCUGCCACUUUGCCCAAUGCCUACUCCUCCCUUCAUCCAUAUUACUUCAGAAAAAACUUGCAGACACUUUAUGUAGAUUCUGCAAUACAUUAUCAGGUGGAGCAUACACUGACAAUAUAUGAGUUGGCAUACUUGCUAGACACUGGUUAUCAAUAUUGCCUUUCCUCCGUAUGAUAAGAGUUUUCCUUUCCAAGAGUGCAAUUUUGCUUUGACCUUUUGGAUCAAAUAAUUAUAGUACUUCUUUCUCCUCAUUGUAUAAAAUAUUGGACAUCCAAGUUAUGUGAAUGGGAAGGUUCCUAUUGAAAAGCCUGUGAUAUUAGCCACCAUUUUAGACAGGUUUCCUGCUAUGUUGGCAUGCAUAUAAUACGAACUCUUUGACUUGUUAAUCAUAUGUCCAGAGGUAUGCUCAUAUUUUGUCAACACAUCUACAAUCUUCUGCAAAGAAUAGGCUCAGCAGAUGUGAAGAUAAUUGUGUCAUCAGCAUAUGCAAGAUGAUUUAAAGGCUCAGACCGCUUAGGCAUCCCAUAGCCCUAAAACUGUUUAUCUCCAAACAACUUGUUCAAUGAUCUUGUUAAAACUUCUGCUGACAAUAUGAAUAAAGCUGGAGACAAAGGGUCACCUUGCUUUACACCCCUUGAAGAAUGAAAUAAACAUGCAGCCUGACUAUUCACCAACACCGGAUACCAGUUGUUUGAUAUAAGAUUCCAUACCAUAUUAAUGAAACCUUCUGCAAAUUCCAUUCUCCUUAACACAUGCAUCAAAUACUUCUAUGAUACUCUAUCAUAUGCCUUAGAGAUGUCUAAUUUUAUGACUACAUUAGCAGGCUUCCCUCUCUUUCUAAUAUCUGUCACAAUCUCUUGAGUUAACAAGAUUCUCAAAUAUACUUCUCCCCUUGACAAAACUUGAUUGAUUUGAAGAUAUCAAAUCAGGUAAUAUCUUCUUGUUAGAUCAGAUUUUAAUGAUACAAUUAAUAUACAUGUGCAGGCAUUCAAAAAAAGGGAAGCAAAAUUAUUGGAACUGAUGUAGCAAACAAGAAAAGAGCUAAAAGAGAGGGUGCCAUUGUGUUCAAACAAGAAGCAAACUUGCUGUAGCAAAAAGGAAGGAAAUAUUCCUUAAAGGUAGCUGUUGAUGCUCAAGGAAAAGAUCAGCAUCUCAUCAACAAAUCAGGAAGUCUUCCAUUAUUGUGGAAAAAUCAUAUCUACCCAGAUAUAACUAAGGAUUCAACGCAAAUCUCUGAUGAUUCAUAUUAACGGGAAGAUAUGGACGUAAAUGAAAAACAUGUCUUGUUGUUCUUUGUCUGGAAAGACUUCAUGUUCCCCAUCAAAGAGAGGCAGUUGUAGGCAUGUAAUUUUUGACCAGCUCAUUAGAAUUACUUUUACUAGUCCCAGUAUUUUUAAUAUACUUAUUUGGGUUUAUUCCUAUAGGAUUUCACUUUAUUAUUAGUUUUAGUUCUAUUUUUAAAGGCACGAAAAUUGAAAAAUAAAAAAAUAGUUUCAUUAUAUAUUUUCUUAUUUUUAACUUAAGGCCAUUAGUAUUUUAUAGCAAUCUAUUUUGUUAUUACCAUUAUUUUUACUUUUAGCUUGAGUAUGAUAAUUUAUAUAAAAUAUAUAGCUUCAUACAGUUUGCUUUAAUGAAUUAAAAUUAAUAUUUUAAAGUAUGUUUUAAUUUAUUUUGUUUAAAAAAAGUGGUAAAGGUUUAAGUUUCUUAUUGGAUUAAAGAGUCAAAAAGAUGCCUAAUUUGGGCAAGAAAAAGCCCAAUCUAGCAGCCCCACUAAACCAGCCCCAGUUACCCAUCCGACCCCCCCCCNNNNNNNNNNNNNNNNNNNNNNNNNNNNNNNNNNNNNNNNNNNNNNNNNNNNNNNNNNNNNNNNNNNNNNNNNNNNNNNNNNNNNNNNNNNNNNNNNNNNNNNNNNNNNNNNNNNNNNNNNNNNNNNNNNNNNNNNNNNNNNNNNNNNNNNNNNNNNNNNNNNNNNNNNNNNNNNNNNNNNNNNNNNNNNNNNNNNNNNNNNNNNNNNNNNNNNNNNNNNNNNNNNNNNNNNNNNNNNNNNNNNNNNNNNNNNNNNNNNNNNNNNNNNNNNNNNNNNNNNNNNNNNNNNNNNNNNNNNNNNNNNNNNNNNNNNNNNNNNNNNNNNNNNNNNNNNNNNNNNNNNNNNNNNNNNNNNNNNNNNNNNNNNNNNNNNNNNNNNNNNNNNNNNNNNNNNNNNNNNNNNNNNNNNNNNNNNNNNNNNNNNNNNNNNNNNNNNNNNNNNNNNNNNNNNNNNNNNNNNNNNNNNNNNNNNNNNNNNNNNNNNNNNNNNNNNNNNNNNNNNNNNNNNNNNNNNNNNNNNNNNNNNNNNNNNNNNNNNNNNNNNNNNNNNNNNNNNNNNNNNNNNNNNNNNNNNNNNNNNNNNNNNNNNNNNNNNNNNNNNNNNNNNNNNNNNNNNNNNNNNNNNNNNNNNNNNNNNNNNNNNNNNNNNNNNNNNNNNNNNNNNNNNNNNNNNNNNNNNNNNNNNNNNNNNNNNNNNNNNNNNNNNNNNNNNNNNNNNNNNNNNNNNNNNNNNNNNNNNNNNNNNNNNNNNNNNNNNNNNNNNNNNNNNNNNNNNNNNNNNNNNNNNNNNNNNNNNNNNNNNNNNNNNNNNNNNNNNNNNNNNNNNNNNNNNNNNNNNNNNNNNNNNNNNNNNNNNNNNNNNNNNNNNNNNNNNNNNNNNNNNNNNNNNNNNNNNNNNNNNNNNNNNNNNNNNNNNNNNNNNNNNNNNNNNNNNNNNNNNNNNNNNNNNNNNNNNNNNNNNNNNNNNNNNNNNNNNNNNNNNNNNNNNNNNNNNNNNNNNNNNNNNNNNNNNNNNNNNNNNNNNNNNNNNNNNNNNNNNNNNNNNNNNNNNNNNNNNNNNNNNNNNNNNNNNNNNNNNNNNNNNNNNNNNNNNNNNNNNNNNNNNNNNNNNNNNNNNNNNNNNNNNNNNNNNNNNNNNNNNNNNNNNNNNNNNNNNNNNNNNNNNNNNNNNNNNNNNNNNNNNNNNNNNNNNNNNNNNNNNNNNNNNNNNNNNNNNNNNNNNNNNNNNNNNNNNNNNNNNNNNNNNNNNNNNNNNNNNNNNNNNNNNNNNNNNNNNNNNNNNNNNNNNNNNNNNNNNNNNNNNNNNNNNNNNNNNNNNNNNNNNNNNNNNNNNNNNNNNNNNNNNNNNNNNNNNNNNNNNNNNNNNNNNNNNNNNNNNNNNNNNNNNNNNNNNNNNNNNNNNNNNNNNNNNNNNNNNNNNNNNNNNNNNNNNNNNNNNNNNNNNNNNNNNNNNNNNNNNNNNNNNNNNNNNNNNNNNNNNNNNNNNNNNNNNNNNNNNNNNNNNNNNNNNNNNNNNNNNNNNNNNNNNNNNNNNNNNNNNNNNNNNNNNNNNNNNNNNNNNNNNNNNNNNNNNNNNNNNNNNNNNNNNNNNNNNNNNNNNNNNNNNNNNNNNNNNNNNNNNNNNNNNNNNNNNNNNNNNNNNNNNNNNNNNNNNNNNNNNNNNNNNNNNNNNNNNNNNNNNNNNNNNNNNNNNNNNNNNNNNNNNNNNNNNNNNNNNNNNNNNNNNNNNNNNNNNNNNNNNNNNNNNNNNNNNNNNNNNNNNNNNNNNNNNNNNNNNNNNNNNNNNNNNNNNNNNNNNNNNNNNNNNNNNNNNNNNNNNNNNNNNNNNNNNNNNNNNNNNNNNNNNNNNNNNNNNNNNNNNNNNNNNNNNNNNNNNNNNNNNNNNNNNNNNNNNNNNNNNNNNNNNNNNNNNNNNNNNNNNNNNNNNNNNNNNNNNNNNNNNNNNNNNNNNNNNNNNNNNNNNNNNNNNNNNNNNNNNNNNNNNNNNNNNNNNNNNNNNNNNNNNNNNNNNNNNNNNNNNNNNNNNNNNNNNNNNNNNNNNNNNNNNNNNNNNNNNNNNNNNNNNNNNNNNNNNNNNNNNNNNNNNNNNNNNNNNNNNNNNNNNNNNNNNNNNNNNNNNNNNNNNNNNNNNNNNNNNNNNNNNNNNNNNNNNNNNNNNNNNNNNNNNNNNNNNNNNNNNNNNNNNNNNNNNNNNNNNNNNNNNNNNNNAUAACUCACAUUUAUUUGGCAUAUAUUAUUUUCCAUUAAAUUGGUUUGUCAAUUAUCAAAACAUAUAAGUAUGAACAUAUACAUAUGUUCCAACAAAUAUAACCCUGCCCCAAAACCCGAAAAAAAACCUAAGACACAGGAAGAGAAAAACCUGAAGAUAGUAGCCAUCAACCUUUCACGAUAACAAUGGGACAAGACCAAAAACCUAGCGGAAAAAAUCCACCUCCUUAACGCCAUUUCCCCGCAAAAAGCCAGUCGACGCCGCUAUCAUCUCCGCCUGACCUCCUCAUCUAUAAAGAGAUGCUCACCCUUCCACGUCGUCUUCUUCUUCACACAAUCAAACCAACAGCCACAUGAUCUCUUCAAAAUGGCUAGCUCCCUCACUCUAUGCAUUCUCUCCGCCGGAGUUAACCACCGGCGACGGCUACUAUUAUCGUUGCAAUGGGAUGUGAACGGAAAAUCCCUAGCCUUGGACUGCAAAUUCGAAAUAAAAAAACAAAAACAAAAAAAAUUAUUUUCAAUUUUGCUGCGACUUUCCGGCAUGGAAUCUGAUUGAAGCACCGUGGAGAUUCUGAUGAUUAGUUUGUUGUUCGAGGUUCGUGGCCUGUUGCUCCCGUCUAGGUUUGAGUCGAUGAGGUGCUAUUUGAGAUCUCUAAGUUUCUAUGCUCUGUUCGACUAUUAAUUUUGGAAUUUAAAAUUUUCAUUCUACAGAUUAAGGUCCAUUCCUAUCCCACACUACUUUCUACUAAGUUUUGUUUGAAUGAGUGCAUAUUUACUCUUAAUUAUUUGUUUGAUUGGAAUGAGUUGGUUUCUUGAAUUCAAUUCCAUGAUAUUUACUGAGAUCUUACCCACGUAAGUUUAACAUAGAUAAUAUUAUUGUAAUUAUAUGUGUCUUAGUGUGUUGAAGUUGAAUUUGCUUGGAAAUUUCCGUGGGGAAGAUAUAUAUUUUAAUUUUAUGAAUUCGGGAUAAAUGUGUAUUGAUAUUGUCUCAUUUAGUCCUUUUAGAAAAACUCAAUUAAAAUGUGUUAAGAAGAAAAUGAAGCACGUUUUAUUAACAGAGGUAGAAAAGUAAGGUUCGGAUUUAAGAAAAGAACGUGGGCAGUUGGGAUUAUUACUUUGAAUUAAGAGGGAUUAUUGCAAGAAAGAUAACCUGUGAAACGAAUUGAUCCCUUAAGAUGUCGGUUUUAAAUUAAUGAUGUUGGACUUCAGAAAUGAAUGUUUUGUUUGGUUUUAUUUUAUCGUGUUUAACCGCUAGCAGUAUAUUUUUGGCCGUCAUUACUUGAGUAGGAAAGCUGCAGGAUUUUUGUUAGUUUAGUGGUGAAAGGUCGUUCCUUUAGUUAUAUUUAUCCGGGAUAUGCCCUGAGGGGUUUGUAUAUAUUUUAUCCGGGGUAUGACCCGAAGUAUUUGUACUUGAAGGCCGAAGACGGAACAGUUCGAGGAAGCAUAGAAUAUUAUUUUAUUUUUGUUUUAUUAGGUGGAGACGACCUCGAGCCUCUUUUGACUGUUUAUUUUCUUUUUGGUGUUUUUUACCUCAAUUUGAAUAUCUUAAAAACCAACUUGAUCGAGUACGCAACCGUGAUUUUCACGGGACUUGGGGAGUUCCUAACACCUUCUCCCCGAAUCAAAUGAACCCCCUCACCCGAAUCUCUGCUGCGGACUAAGUAUUGAGUCCAAGUGUUUUAAAAGGAAAAUAUUUUCUAAAACUGGUGACCUAACACACCAAAAUCAAAUGUCAGGUGGCGACUCUGAGUUAAUCCUUUUAAACACAUCUUUUGUCACUUUCAAAAUUGAAAAACCCUUUUCAAGCUCUUUAAAUCUUUUAUUAAUUGAAGAUGAUUAAGUGAGAUUUGUUUUAAAAAAAAAAAAGGGUGUGACACACAGUAUCUCAUGGUUUAUGGUAUCCUCAAUCUAAUUCCUUUAAGUUAGAAGGUUUCUUAGAUGUAGAUUUAGCAGGUGAUAAAGAAGACAGGAAAAGCACAAUUGGCACAUGACAACUACUAGGAAAAGCUUUAAUAUCCUGGAAUAGUAAAAAAAACAAGCAUCAGUUGCUUUAUCGACUACUAAAGCUGAGUAUAUUGCUGCUGGACAACGUUGUGCACAAUUGCUAUGGAUGUCCCAUCAACUGGGCGACUAUGAUCUCUCUUUCAAACCUAUACAAAUUUUCUGUGAUAAUUCUAAUGCUAUUUGUCUUUUGAAAAAUCAUGUGCAUCACUCUAGAGCUAAGCAAACAGAUAUUAAACAUCAUUUCAUUAGAGAUCAUGUUCCCAAAAGUGAUAUAGAAUUAGCAUUUGUUGGUACUUCUGCUCAAUUAGCCGAUAUUUUUAUUAAACCUUUGUUGGAAUAAAGAUUUUGUACUCUAAAAGAACUUCUUGGAAUUAUUUGCUUUACUAAAAACCCUUAGGUUCAAAGUAAUGUUUUUCAAAAACUUAUCAUAAUUGUUUUUUGUGUAGUUCAUUAAUUACGUCGUCAUCCUUUCCCUCCCUUUCCUGUCUAAUUUCCCAUCAGUUGCAGUCACAGAAGGAAAGCCAAUCGAUGCGUCGGUCUAACUGACAACUUUUCCUUUUCUACUAAACCGUAAAAUCCCACCUCUUUAGAUAGUCCUUUUCAUCUCCCUUCUUCUUCAUCCUCUCUACCAAACUUUUACACUCCCAGUUCAAAACCUUCCUCUCCGCCAUGGCCAAGACCUGCAAAAAUCCCUCCGCCUCCACAAGAAAAAGCACUCAUUCCAAAGCAAAACCUUCUUCCGCUAUGCCUGAGAAAGUCGACCUAGGGUUUGACCCGUUCGAGGAGUGUGCCUCUUCUGCCUCCUCUCCGCCAUGGCCAAGACCUCUAAAAAUCCCUCUACCUCUACAAGAAAAAGCACUUGUUCCUAAGAAAAACCUUCUUUCGCUCCGCCUGAGCAAGUCGACCUAGGGUCUGACCGGUCUGAGGAGUGUUCCUCCUCUCAAGGUGCACAUUCUGAGCACUCCCUACUUCUUGGUGACAAAUCUGCUGGCAAACGACCCACGGAUGAACCCCUUGUCUCCACCUCCAAGAAAGCCAAGUUUGAUUACUCUACCUCUCUUGAAUCUGACCUCAAUUUUUGGGAUUCCCCAAAUAGGGACUUCUUUAUUUCGCUCAAAGACAAGCCCAUAGCCCAUGGCCAUUUGGUAGAUAUCGAUAGUAUGGAAUCCCUCAACUGUAAGGUAAAAGAGCCUUUUGUUUAUCAAUGGUGGGACAAAUUUCUAUCUAUUUCUCCACCUAAAGUAUAUGAACCUCUGGUCCGUAUGUUCUAUGCCAAUAUUCGUUCUAGAAAAUUUGAUAGGCUUUAAAUCCUUGUUCUUGGCAAACGCAUUGUUCUUGACUGUAGCCUGUUUGAUUCCCUUUUUCUCUGUCGUUGUUCUGGCUUCCCUACUAUGUUUAAAAAUGUAUGGCCUGAUGUUUUUGAAAUAUCCUUUGAUCAUGCAAAAUAGAUCAUUGCAUAAAACCCUUCUGCCUGUCUUCCAAAUCAAUUAGGCCCAGUGAUAUUAGAUUUUAAACUAGGGUUCUAGCUCACAUUGUUGCAACCACUCUCCUUCCCAGAACUGGUUCCUUCUCCACUCUCUCUACCAAAGGGACACCUUCUUCGUCUAUUGUCUCAUCUCUAAACUCAAAAUCAAGUUGUCCUCUUGGGUUAUCAACUUCAUGAUUGAAAGUGCUGAAGACCCCACCAGCCUUCUGUAUGGUAUGGCCAUUACUCACAUUCUGGAAACCCAUCAAAUCUCACAUUCAGACUACCCUUUUGUUUCUGUGACCAAAUGCUACAACUCUAGAGCCUUCUCUAGCAUGGGGUAUGUGAUUAGCAAAGGGGUCUGGGUCAAAAAGGGAGAAAGUGAUGCCAAGCCUGUUCCUGAGGAAAUCAAGUCGUCCUCUGUCCUUCCAUUCUCUCAUAUUCCCAUAGACCUUAGUGGAAAACUAUGCUCCCUUGAAUCUCAACUUUCCGAUAUCAAGUUGACUGUGGACGCCAUUCACGCCAUUUCCAAGGAAACAGCGUCUAAUGUCUAAUUUCAUGGUGGUUUUGCAAAACAUACGAGAGAAUGCAGUCAAAGCGUUCAGGAAGGUGCAUGACAGGUUGAUGGAUUGGGCAUUGCUGCCAACACCAGCUUUGACCAAAUGAAUGAGGAUAUCUGCAACACCCUUACCUAUUUCCUGCGCUGUUGAUGGUUGUGAUUUACAGACAAUACUUUGGUUGUUGGGUUGUUCCCGUGGAUGUUUUUUUAUUUUGUUUUUUUAUAUAUUUUGUCUGUGGAAAUUAUUUUUUACUAUAGCUCCCUCUUUGCUGAUGUCAAAAAGGGGGAGAAAUAUAUGCCAUCUUUUCUCAUGUGCAGGAUAUAUUUAUUAAAUUGACUAUGCAAUGGCAUAGUUUUUAUACAGGACAAGUCGACUAUAUAUGGUAUAUAUGUUUAAGCUGACUAUGUUGCGGCAUAGCUAUUAUCUCAUCUGCACAGGACAAGUCAACUAUGCUGGACAAAUAUGUUUUAAUUGACUUCGUAGUCAAUACCUCAUGCUCUUUGGGUCUGUUAGUUAAUACUUGACAGGUAUCUAUCAAACUGUACAUAAUGAGGGGGAGCAAUUCGAUUGCACAUAGUCCAGUUGACCAUACAUUGAGGGGGGGAAAUUCGACUGUACAUAAACAGGGAAGUAAACUGUUGUUUACUCUCUUAUAUAUUAAUUUUGCCAUCAUCAAAAAGGGAAAUUGUUAGAUCAGAUUUUAAUAAUGCAAUUAAUAUACAUGUGCAGGUAUUCAAAAAAAGGGAAGCGGAAUUAUUGGAACUGAUAUAGCAAACAAGGAAAGGGCUAAAAGAGAGGCUGUAAUUGUGUUCAAAUAAGGAAGCAAACUUGUUGUAGCAAAAAGGAAGGAAAUAUUCAUUAAAGGUAGAUGUCGAUGCUCAAGGAAAAGAUCAGGAUCUCAUCAUCAAAUCAGGAAGUCUUCCAUAAUUAUGGGUAAAUCAUAUCUACCCAGAUACAAUAAAAGAUUCAAUGCAAAUCUCUGAUGAUUAAUAAUAAUGGGAAGAUAUGGACGGAAAUCAAGAUUGGAGGAUCCACAAUCAAAGGCAAUCUGUGUUGAAUCAUAUCUCUAGCUAAAUUUAGAAAAUCUGGUAUGCGACCAAGUUUGGAAACAUCAACAAUCAAGGAGCAAUCAAGAAAAGCAAUGUCUCAAUCCUUAUUCUUGGAAAUAAUCAUUCUUUCCAAGGAUAAAAUAUCUUUGGUUGUCAAGCCCCCAACAUCCAUCAAAGUAUUUAUACAUCCUUGUAAAACCUAUCUUAGAUAUACUUUGAUCAAACCAAAUAGAUCUCUUCAAUUUACUGCAAACAAGCAUAGUAGUCUAGAAAGAUUAACUGUGUAACAAGCCAGAGAUAGAAAGAGUAUUCUCAAUUGGUGAGGCACUGUAUCAAAUGAGUGAAAGAAGACUGUGCGACAAGUAUCAUAUCUGUACUCAAAAAAAUCAUUGAUCUAAAGAGAAAUCCCUUGCAGCCCAAGGGGACUGGAUUAGGAUUCACAUUGAAUCUGAACCAGUAUAAAAAUUCUGGGUGUAUUUAUAUAUCUACAUUUACUUUUAGCAUACUUAUAUUUAAAUAUUCUCGUCUGGUGCACUACCACAUGAAGUCAACUAAUAAAGUUUUAAGUUGACUUAUUUGCGAUUAAGUUUAAAUUCGUCACAAUUCACCCCCCUGUUUUACUUUCACGGAGGAGAAGGUAGGGUGGCCUGGGAGUUAUUAAUCUUAGCUUUAUAGGAGAGUUUUUGGGAGGAGAGAUACUUACCUGAGCUUUCUGCAUAAUUAUAUUAGAAUAUCUUCACCUGCAGUAUCGUCACAUUCAGUCGACUUAAAGUUUAAAGUCAACUUAUUUAUGAUUAAGUUUAAAUUAUUCACAAUUCACCACACCCCCCCUGUACUUUCACUUCUCCAGUCUAUCAUAUACAACCCUUAAGAAUACUUUAUUAAUGAAAUUACUUAGACUAAUAGGUCUAAUAUCAGAGAAUAUUUGUACUCUUGGAUUUUUAGGCAACAAAACAAGGUUAGUAUGAGUUAUCGAUUUAGGCAAGGGAGCACCAUCAAAGAACACAAUCAGCAGCUCAUAUAUAUCAUCCCCUACAAUGUCCUAACAUGUCUGAAAGAAUAGGUCUGAGAAGCUAUCUGGUCCCCUUGCACUUUCACUACUCAAAGCAAAAACUCCUACUUUCACCUCCUCCAUUGCUGGCAAUCUACACAAUUCUAUAUUUUGCUCCCUUGAAAUCAUUUUUGGCACAUUGUUCAACAGCGCAAAGGUUGAAGGAUCAUCCUCCUUUGUGAACUGCUUCUAAAUGAAUUCAACUACUGCAUUGGACAUUAAUUCCUGAGAUUCUAUCCAGUCUCUAUCAUAGUUCUGAAUCCUUUUCAAUUGCAAUUUCUGUCUUUUUCCAUUAACAUGAUUGUGGAAAAAACUUUUAUUCAUGUCACCUUCUUCAAACUAAGUCAUCUCUACCUUUUGUUUUCAAUAUUACUCUUCUAUGCUCAAAUAUUUCUUCAACUCUGCCUGGGCCUGUCGCAGUACAAUUCUGUUCUCAAUAGAUGGAUUUUCCUCAAACAAAAUCUCUUUAAUUCUCACCACAUCUUCUAUGUUAGACAACUACUUAAAUAUAUCCCCAUAGGUUAAUUUUCUCCAUCUGGAUAAAGCAAUAUUAACCCUCUUUAAUUUCUUCUUAAACAUCAAAAAUGGAUCACCCAUAAAGUAUGCAAUCCAGUUUUGUUGCACCACCUCCAAGAAUGUUUCAUGUUUUGUCCAGAAGUUCAAAAACUUGAAUGGCUUCACAAAUUUCAGUUCUUCUUCUCCAUAGCUCAUCAAUAAUGGGGCAUGAUCUAAUCCAGUCCUAAUCAAAUGCUCCACCUCAAUAUCAGGAAAUUUAUUUUGAAAAGGCAUGUUCACCAGAAUCCUAUCAAGCCUUUUAAGUAUACACUCUUCAUUUGGCCUCCCAUUCCACCAUGUAAAUGGACUUCCUUUGUAACCAAGAUCAAACAUUCCACAGGAAUUCACACUGAAGGAAAAAAUCUUCAUGUUUAGGAGGAUAAACUGGAACGCCACCAAUGUUUUCUUCCUCUCCCAACACUACAGUAAAAUCACCCCCACUAACCAAGGCAAUUUCAUGUUACUAGCUAAAUGAUACAAAGUAUCACAUAACUCCAAUCUCUCCAAAGCACAACAUUUAGCAUAAACAAAUGUCAUCAUAUUGUGCUUAUCAAGAUAUGAUAUACUCUGAUUGUUAUUUGUUGAUUUGUGUCUAUCACUAUAUCCCAUUCUACCACAUCAUCAAAGAACAACCAAAUCUUGCCAUUCACAUUUGAAAUUGCAGCUUCCAUACCUAGACUUCUCUAUAUCUUUGAAGAAACUUCUGUUUUUGCUUUGGUUACAUAAGUGAAACUAUAAAGAAACCAUGAUCCCUUUGCAUAUUAAUAACCCUUUGAAAGGCCUGUUGUGUCUUUACAGACCUUAUAUUCCAUACGAGAGUCUUGAUCAUCUUGGUACAUUAGUGGCUGCCCUCCUAGGCAAAUUCUAGUAGGUGCUUGUAGUUCUUUAGGUUGUGUCUUCUUCGCUUUCUUCUCACUUUUGAUAGCUGUUCUAUGAGAUAAUUCCCCUUCCCUUGCUAUAGCUUUGAAAUUUUCCUCUAUAGAUUCCUCAUCUUCUUCCCCUUCUCUCUGUACCUACUGAUUUAUAAAAGUCUGCUGAAUAUCCAUGGGUACCUCUUUAUGAGUGAUUAUAUCAUGAGCACCUGAGUUGGAGUCCUUUGUGGCAUAGUAACUUGGAUGUGCAAUGGGGAUCCUGUACCUGAUGCACGUGCCAUAGGUAAUGCAUCAAAUUCUCCUUGAUUCCUUGACACAAUUGACUGCUUAUCUGCUUCCAAAGGUAUCAAUGCUACCUGUUGUUCUUUUCCAUAUUCCUUAAGUUCUCCUUCAUCAUCUUGAAUUGAAGCUCAUACACUGAUCCUAGAUUAGGAUCUACUGUUGCCAAUGUAUCCUUUAUGACCUCAUUAGCAGGAACUCCUUCAACAACAGCCACAAUCUCCCCUGUUUUGCAAGCGUUUACUGUUCCAUUGGAUUUCUCUUCAUUCACCACUUUUUGAGAUGAAACUUGCACAAGUACCACACCAAGACAAAGCUCAGUCAAACAGGGCCAAUGCGGCUGCACACCAUUCUUUGUGGUUCGCACAAGUGAAGUUUAGAGAGGUUGUUGUUCAGGCCAACAGGAAAUGCGGACCCAAGGGGUUUUGUGCAGUCUACAUUGGGUUCAUUGCGGCCAAACUCAAUUUUGUGCAGUCCCCAAAGCCAUGGUUCAAAGAGAUGAUAUUUUGGAGUUUGAAGCUCAAUGUGGUCCACUGUCCUUUUUGUGCAGACCGCAAUGGAAGCCACCGCGGCCGCACUCGAUUUCGUGCAGCCCGCAUUGCCCAAGUUCAAAGAGCUAAUUAUUCAAGUUCAGAGCCUUAGUGCGGCCGUACUCAUUUUUGUGUCAGUCCGUACUAGCCCCUCAGGGGUAUUUCUAUCCAAGAUUUUCAGCCUAGUAUAAAUAGAUUCUUUUUUCGUUUUUAGGACAUCAGAUAGUUUUGUACUGAGAGCUUCGCUCGCGACUUCAUCCCUUUUGCUUAUUUUGAGUAAUUGGAGCUUAAUUUCAACAUUGAAUCUUUAAGUUUAAUUUAGCAAUUAAUUAUUAUGAGUUUUUCUUCAUCUAUAGCUUUGUUUUCUUCUCUAUUAUGAGUAGCUAGACCCAUCAGCUAGGGUUGUGGCUCAAGCCUAGUGUGGGUAAUUGAUGGAUCUUGUGUUUUGAUGUUUGAUUGUCUAUGGGUGUUUGAUAUUUAGGCUAAUUUAGGGCUUUAAUUUUGAAUUAGUAGUUGUAAUACUAGUUUGUGCCUAGUAGACUUUGGCUCUUCUUGAGAAAGAGACCCUAAGUCCAUGAAAUUAGUCCAACAAGGAAUUGGGGCCUACUCAAGAGAUUGAUAGUCCCAAUUAAAAGGUUAAACCUAGAGAUAGUAAUACCCGACUUGAAACUUGAUUGCUUGCACAAAUUUGCAUACCCAAUUGGUCUUGAGAAAGUCAAUUCGGGAAAAAUCACUCGAACUACCGAGAGGAAAAAGAUGAGUAGAAUCGUGCAAUGGUUAUAUCAUACUCCCCAAAUGUGACAAUCUAGCUUUAGACUCAAGAAUCCGUCAAUUGACCACCUAGGAGAAAGCCGCUACCCUAGUGCCUUUUAAUCAUUUGAAUAACUUGCAAUAGAUUAACCUUAACUUUAUUUAGUUUAAUUGAGCAUUGUAGUUUUAUAAAAUUAGAAUUAUAAAUAACACCAAAAAUGUGUAGAACUGCAAUUAAGUGCAUCCACUUUAGAUAGACACUCGACUCCAAUAUCUAGCUCCCUAUGAAAAUCGAUCCCGACCUUAAUCGGGUAAUUGCUUUGACCUCUCUCACAACUCAAUAGUAGUUCAGGGUUGGACUCGAUCACUUUUUGGCACUGUUUCCAGGGAGCUAACGAAUUUGGCUAUCUAUCUAAAUAGUUUUGUGUAUCGUUCUUCUUUCCUUCUAUGUUACUAAUUUGUUUGUGUCACAACUUCAGGUACAAGAUGGCUGCAAAGGUUGAUGACCCUCUUGGAAAUGUGAUUGCGGGGGAGGAGGUAGAUGAUGUUGGAGAUGAUGAGGUGCCUCUUGUACCUCAAGGACAAUGUAGAGGCCGUCAGGCCAAUGCUAAUACCAAUGAAAUCAUUCCACACCCUCCUCCUCCACCUCCAAGAGUUGCUCUAAGAGUGCUUCCGAACCAAGGCUAUGCAAGUGCAAUUGUCCCACCGCAGAUCCUGGCGGGCAAUUAUCAAAUAAUCAAUAUGAUGCUAACCUUUUUGGAGCAGUGUAGGUAUUUCAUGGGCACUGCCAAUCAAAAUACUUACAAACAUCUUAAGGGGUUCGUGGAUACCUGUUGAGUGAGCAAGCAAUCAAAUGUGUCUGUGGAUGCUCUUAGGUUGAGACUCUUUCCAUUUUCAUUUAGAGGGAAGGCAUUGGACUAGCUUGAGCAACUUCCCAACCAUUCCAUCACUACUUGGGAUGAGUUGGCGGACAAGUUCAUUGUAAAAAUUUUCUCACUGGGGCAUAUGGCUGCAUUGAGAGAUAAGAUCUUGAAUUUCAAGCAAGAGCCCAUGGAACCUUUGCAUGAGAUUUGGGAGCGUUAUAGAACAAUGGUGAAGGAAUUCCCCGACAAUGAUAUGACCAAGGCGGUGAUCCAACUGACUUUCUACCAGGGCAUUAAUACAACAAACAAUGCAUAGUGAACCAACUUGCUGGGGGAAAAAUUAUGAAGCUAUCUUAUGGUUAGGCUUGUGAGAUUCUUCACGAGAUGGAUGACACUUCUUUGGCUAGAAAAAGUAAAACCGGUGUGCCCCGGGGUGACCCUACGGUUACUCAUUUGCACAAAGAGUUACAUGAUCAUUAUCAGGCUAUAGUUGAGUUGACAAAUACUAUGAACCAACUAGCAUAGGCACAACUACAACAAGUUCAAAAUCGUUGCCAAGUGAAUGCCAUGGAGUAUGUCAACAUGAUUGUCAAUAAAGAAGACAAAAGGGUCAACAAAAUCAAGGAAAUUUGGAGCAAUUUGACAAUAAUUGUGGUGGAUUUCUAGAUGAUAGUUAUGAUAGGCAUGAUGAGGAGGUGCAGUACGUGAGAAAGGCCAAAGGGAAAAUUCUUCCAACCAACAACAAUGGAGACCCCAAGUCAAUUGGGGAAAUCAACAACAACAAGGCAAUGGUAAUUGGGGGAACAAAAAUCAAAACAGCAACUGAGGUAAUCAGAAUAAUCAAGGAAAUUGGAAUGGUAACAACAAUCAAGGCGGAUGGAACAAUGGAAACCAAGGAAACCGGGGAAAAGGCUUUCAAAGGCCCUCAAUGUACCAAAAACUAAACAAUCCACCCCCAUUUCUAUCUCAAGGUCCUAGUUCUUCUAACAGUGAUGUGGGGAGAAUUGAAAUGAUGUUCGAACAAAUGAUAAAAAAGAGUGCGGAUUUCGAUGCUCAGUUGUCUUCCCACAAUACAUCAAUUUAGAAUUUAGAGGUUCUGUUGGGCCAAAUCUCAAAAUACUUCAAUACUCGCCCUAAGGGUGCUUUACCAAGUGAUACGGUAGUGAACCCAACGGGUGGGAACAAUCAUGUUAUGGCGGUAACUACAAGGAGUGGACGAGGCGGUGAUGUGAAUGCCUCUAAACAAAAGAAAAUUUUUAGUGAUGAUGUUAAGUUGCAAGAAAAUGAAGUUCCUUUUGUGGUUGAAAAUGUGAUUAAUGAGAACAUGAAUGAAGAAGUGAUAAUUUAUAUUCAAGAUGCAAGGGUGGAAAAUCAAAAUGAUGUGAGCCCAUCUAGAGAACACAUUAUAGACAUGCUGGAGCUGGUUGUGCCUAACGCCAAGGCUCCUUUUCCAAGGCCACCUCCACUUUAUCCUCAAAGGCCCGUGAAGCCGAAAAAUGAGAAUCAAUGUAAAAAAUUCAUUGGCAUGCUGAAUAGCUUAUGCAUUGAUGUGCCUUUAGUGGAGGCUCUUGAACAAAUGCCGAGCUAUGCGAAAUUCAUGAAGGACAUGGUGACAAAGAAACAAUCUAUGGAUUAUGAAACUAUAAAGAUGACUCACCAAGUUAGUGCGAUAGUGCAUUAAAUGGCCCCGAAGCUUGAAGCUCCCGGUGCUUUCACCAACCCUCGCACCAUUAGGAGUGCAGAUUUUGCUAAGGCUCUUUGUGAUUUGGGGCUAGUAUCAAUUUGAUGCCCUACUCAGUUUUCAAGACUUUGGGUAUUGGGAAACCAUGUCCGACUUCUAUGAGAUUACAAAUGGUGGUUAGAACGAUGAAGAGACCAUUGGUAUUAUUGAUGAUUUUCUUGUCUGGGUGGACAAAUUUAUCAUGCCAGUAGACUUUGUGAUCUUGGAUUGUGAGGUGGAUUAUGAAGUUUCUAUCAUAUUGGGGAGACCUUUCCUUGCUAUGGGGAAGGCCUUAAUUGAUGUGGAAGCAGGGUCAUUCACCUUACGGGUGGGUGAAGAAAAAGUGAUCUUUCAUGUGUGCAAGUCAAUGAAGCAGCCCAACAGUUCUGAGGUGUGCUCUUUUGUGGACCUUGUCAUGGUAGUGAUAGUUGAUGAUACUAGUGCAAUGAUCAAUGUGAAGGACCCUUUGGAGGCCGUGUUGUUGAAUCUUCAUGUCAAUGAUGAUGAGGGCCGAGUGGAGCAUGUGAAUGCUUUACAUGGAAUGGGCUCUUACUUUUAUGAGCCUAGGAAACUCUCUUUGAACCUUGAAAAUAGGAAGACUCCACCAACAAAACCUUCAAUUGAAGAGCCUCCGGUGUUGGAGUUGAAACCACUACCUCCUCACCUCAGGAAUGAGUUAUUAGGCCCUAGUUCUACUUUGCUAGUUAUUCUUUCCUCAUCUCUUACUAACAUGCAGGUUGAUGCCACAUUAGCGAUGUUUCAAAAAACAGAAAAAGGUAAAUGGAUGGACUUUAGCUGAUAUUCGGGGGACAAACCUCGCAUUCUGCAUACACAAGAUUAUUCUAGAAGAUGAUGCAAAGCCCUCCUUGGAACAUCAAUAGAGGUUGAACGAGGCAAUGAAAGAGGUUGUGAAAAAGGAGGUGAUCAAGUAGUUGGAUGUAGGGGUUGUGUACCUCAUCUCUAAUAGCUCUUAGACUUCACUGGUGCAAUGCGUACCAAAGAAGGGUGGCACGACCGUGGUUGAAAAUUCACAAAAUGAGUUGAUUCCUACUAGAAAAGUCACCGGUUUGAGGGUAUACAUGGACUACCGCAAGUUGAAUAAAGUGACCCACAAGGAUCACUUUCCUUUGCCUUUUCUUGAUCAAAUGUUAGACCGACUUGCUGAGCGUGCCUUCUACUAUUUCUUGGAUGGGUAUUCUGGGUACAACCAAAUCUUGAUUGCUCCAGAAUAUCAGGAGAAGGCCACAUUUACUUGUCUUUAUGGCCUAUUAGCCUUUUCUAGGAUGCCUUUUGGGUUGUCUAAUGCACCGUCUACAUUUCAGUGGUAUAUGAUGGCCAUUUUCACUGAUAUGGUGGAAGCAGUUUUGGAGGUUUUCAUGGAUGACUUUAGUGUUGUGGGUGAUUCUUUUGAUGAGUGCUUGAAGAAUGUUGAUAGAGUUUUGGCCCGUUGUGAAGAAACCAAUCGUGUUAUCAAUUGGGAGAAAUGCCACUUUAUAGUGGAAGAAGGCAUAGUUCUUGGGCAUAAAUUUCAAAGCAUAUAUUGAGGUAGACAAAGAAAAAAUUGAUGUGAUUUCAAGGCUCCCUCCCCUACCUCUGUCAAGGGAGUUAGAAUUUUUCUAGGGAAUGCAGGGUUCUACUAGAUAUUUAUCAAAGACUUUUCGAAGGUAGAAAAUCCCUUAUGCAAAAACAACAACGACCCAGUAAAGUCUCACUAAGCAGGGUCUGGGGAGAGUAGUGUGUACGCAGACCUUAACCCUACCUCGAUAGGGCAGAAAGGUUGUUUCGGAUAGACCUUUUGUUCAGGAAAAUGAAAAUAAAACAAGAAAACAAGAAACGAUAAUUCAUCAGUAACGUCAACAUAACCAUAGAAAUAAUGGCAGCAUCCUAAAAACCAUAAAAUAGAUGACAUGCAAUACCCAUAACCCACAACUAAGCUCUAGAGGUAUGGAAAUCGGUAAGGUUAGUAUGAACUCAAUAUUAACCGGAAGCCUGUCUAGGACCAACCUACUCAAACUCGCUUCACCCCUGGAAUGGAGGAAGAGAAGCUCAACUACCACCAUAUCCUAUAACCCUAAUGCUCGGCCUCCAAAACCAUCCCAUUAAGGGCCAUAUCUCAGAACUCUGCAAUCAUACCAGGUCCUACCUGAUCACCUCUCCCCAAUACUUCUUAGGCCGUCCUCUACCUCUUCUCGAACCCACUAAAGCCAGCAACUCACAUCUCCUCACCGGUAUAUCCAGCUUCUCCUCUGCACGUUCCCGAACCAUCUAAGCAUCGCUUCCAACAUCUUGUCAUCCACAGAGGCCACACCCACCUUCUCCUGAAUAUCGUCAGUCCUAAUCUUAUCCAUCAUAGUGAGCCUGCACAUCCACCUCAACAUCCUCAUCUCAGCUACCUUCAUCCUCUGGAUAUGAGAGUUAGUGUUUGAUGAUAAAUAUAUGCAAGCCUUUGAACUUCUCAAGCAUAAGUUCACCACCACUCCUAUCAUUACCGCACCUAAUUGGAGCUUGCCCUUUGAGCUCAUAUGUGAUGCGAUCGAUGUUGCGGUUAGGCGAUUUUGGGUCAAAGAGUGAACAAAAUGUUUCAUCCGGUGUACUAUGCGAGCAAGACAAUGAAUGGUGCUCAAGUGAAAUACAUGGUGACCGAGAAAGAACUUUUUGUUAUUGUGUUCGCAGUGGAUAAAUUUUGGUCGUAUCUUACGGGUGCCAAGGUCAUAAUUCAUACCAACCAUGUUGCACUCCUGUACUUGAUGACGAAUAAGGAUUCCAAAGCUAGACUGAUACGACGGGUCUUCUUACUUCAAGAGUUUGAUUUGGAGAUUGUGGACAUGAAGGAUAGUGAAAACCAAGUAGUGGACCACUUGUCUCGCUUGGAGGAGGAGGGAAGGCCUCGUGUUGGCCUAGAGAUCAAUGAUUCAUUUCCCGAUGAACAACUCCCUUCGGUAUCGAUGAAUGGUAUGCCAUGGUUUGAGGAUGUUGCUAAUUUUCUUGUGACUGGUAUAAUCCCGUGUGAGCUCUCUUCUAACCAAAGGAAAAAGCUCAAGCAGGAUAGUUUGGAUUUCUGUUGUGAUGAGCCGUACUUGUUCAAGAUUUGCACGGAUGGUGUGAUCUGUAUCCUGGAGGAACAACAAUUGGGUAUCUUGGAGUCUUGUCAUUCGUCUCCCUAUGGUAGCCAUCAUGGCAAGGUGGGGACGUCUUCCAAAGCUCUUAGUUGUGCAUUUUAUUGGCCAAAGUUGUACAAAGAUGCAAGCAAACUAGUGAAGAGGUAUGAUGAAUCUCAAAGAGCAGGUGGCAUUUCGAAGAAAUAUGAGAUGCCUCUCAAUACCAUUCUUGAGGUUGAUAUUAUUUAUGUAUGGGACAUUGAUUUUAUUGGCCGGUUUGUUAGCUCACGUGGGAACACCUACAUUCAUGUGACAGUGGAGUAUGUUCCAUAGUGGGUUGAAGUUGUGGCUUUGACCAGCAAUGAGGCCCGGAGUGUUGUUGGAUUUCUCAAGAAGACCAUUUUUACAAGGUUUGGUACUCCCCGUGCAAUCAUAAGUGAUUAGGGGUCUCAUUUUUGCAAUAGAGCUUUUGACACUUUGCUUGCAAAGUAUGGCGUCAAUUACAAAGUUUCUACUCCCUAUUAUCCUCGAGCAAGUGGUCAACUUGAAGUCUCCAAUAGGGAAAUCAAGAGCAUAGGGUCAAAGAUGGUCAAUGCUAAUUGGACCGAUUGGUCAAAGAAGUUGGAUGACACUCAAUAGGCUUAUAGGACAGCUUACAAGGCUCUGAUUGGUAUACCUCUGUAUCGGUUGGUGUUUGGGAAAGCUUGUCAUCUACCGGUUGAGUUAGAACACAAGGCCAUAUGGGCUUUAAUGAAGCUAAAUAUUGAAUAGUAUGUAGCAACAAAUCUUCGUGUGGAGCAGCUUAAUGAACUUGAUGAAUUCUGAUUCCAUGCCUAUUCCAGUUCGUCCUUAUACAAAGACAAGAUGAAGUGCCUCCAUGAUAAAUAUGCUCAUUGAAAGAAGUUCAAAGUAGGUGAUUUGGUUCUCUUGUUCAACUCUCGGUUACGUAUAUUUUCGAGAAAGCUUAAGUCAAAAUAGAGUGGACCUUUUGAAAUGGUGUUUGUGACCCCGUUUGGUGCACUUGAUUUGAAGAACAAAAAUGGGAAAGUUUUCAGAGUAAAUGGGCAUAGGUUCAAGAAAUACUUGGGAAAAAUUGAUGGAAGCCACAUGGUGGUACUUCUUCAUCUCAAAUGAUUUGAUGGUAACCUGUGUCAUGUCGCAACGUUAAAUCAGGAACUUCUUGGGAGGCAACCCAUGUGUUUUUAUUCUUAUUUUUCUUUGAUUUUCAUUGUAAUAUAGGAUUUAUUUUUGGACUGACUGGUUGUGAAAUGCUACAGAAUUGUGUUGUUGCAGUACAGGACAAAGUGGAAAAAAAUUGUUCAAGUCUUUGAAGUUUGCAAUGCGGACCACAUUACAUUUGUGCGGCUACAAAGAACAUAGUGCAGGGGCACAAAAUCAGUGCGUACCGCACUGAUGAUGGAUGGAAAAAUCAACUCUCUGAAGUUUGCCACUGCGACCGCAUUAAAUUUUUUGCUGUCCGCGGUGGACCACUGUGGCCACGAAGCAUUUUGUGCGGACCGCAAUGGUUGCCUUCUCAAGCUUGUAUAAUUCCAUAUGGUGCAGACCACACAGCAUUUUGUACGGUCUGUGGUGGGUAGGUAAGCUGGGCUCCUGGACUUUUUUUAUUAAUAGUGCCUGAGGCCCACCACUUGAACUUUUCGAUCCUUUCACUCUCACAACUCAAAGAUUUAUUGCUCAUCUUCCUUCUUGCUUGUAAUUAACUGCUAAGAAUCGUCUAUCGUUAGUACUUCUCACAUCUGGUAACUUUAGCUUCUUUUUAAUUGUUUAAUUUAUUUAUUUUCUUUUAGUUUUUGUUUUCAAUCGUCUUCUUCUUGCCUUUCCCGUAUUUCUUUCGAAUUGGUAGCUUAGGUUAGUUAAUUUCUUGUUUAAAUUAGUAUUAGGUAGUUAAAACAUUAGGCAAACAUUUAGGGACUCUUUCAUUAGUGAAAAAUUUGACUAAAAGGGAUUAAACCGUGAACCCUAAGUUGGUGCUGCUACUGGGUACUCAGUGAGGACCGCGAUAGAAUUUGUGUAGUAUGCUAUGCCCCUGUGCUGUCCGCACUGCAUUUUGUGUAGACUGUAUUGAAGAAGUUCUGAAACCUAAUCAUUAAGGACCGCGGCCGCAUUGCAUUUUUAUGGUUCGUGGUGCCUCAAUGCGGACCGCAUUGCCAUUUUGUGUGGUCCGUGUCACACCUCUUUUUUCACUAUACACCCCCGCAAAGGGGCGUAAAGGAGUUUUUCCAAUUAAAGGACAAUCGUAACGGGAUUUGAUUAUUAAUUAUUCAGAGUCUCCUAUUGGGAGAUUAAUGAUGUCCCAAGUCACUGAUUGAAUCUCGAACCGAGGAAAAAGAUGACUUUGUUUACAGUCCGCGAACCAGAAAUCCGGAUAAGGAAUUCCAUUAACCCGGGAGAAGGUGUUCGGCAUUCCCAGGUUCCGUGGUUCUAGCACGGUCGCUCAAAUGUUGUAUUUAGAUUUUAUCUAAUUUUAUUACAUGAAGAUCUAAUGUGGUAAUUUUACUUUUUGCCGCUUUUACUUACUAUAUUUAAGUGAGAAAGUGAACAUCGUUUAAAAUGUGUUUUCGAAUUGCGCCACAUCAAAUGAACCCGCAAUUCUAGAUACACUCUAUUCAACAUUUUAGGAUUUGAAUUUGGGCCGCAUAAAAUACCCACCUGUAUUUAGGAAUGUAAUUUAUUAAAGCCGCGCCUAAUAGAGUCUAGCACGUUGUAAUCUUUUGGGAGGGUCGUGAAAUUCGCUAAGCGAUCCUUCCCAAUUUUUCAAAAUAUUUUUAAACCUUUAUUGAGGGCCCCGCAUUUUACGUAUUUUUAUUUGGCGAGGCACGCCUCCUUUAUUUUAAGGAUAUUCUAAAGUGACAACAUUUAUAUUUAAAUUCGUCUCUAGAAUAAAGAAAGAAAAAUCCUAAUUAAUUACGAGCUAAAGAAUAAAAAUGUAACACACUAAUUAGAAAAAUGCCCACCUGUAUUUAGGAAUGUAAUUUAUUAAAGCCGCGCCUAAUAGAGUCUAGCACGUUGUAAUCUUUUGGGAGGGUCGUGAAAUUUGCUAAGCGAACCGUCCCGAUUUUCUAAAUAUUUUAAAACAUUUAUUGAGAGCCCCGCAAUUUUACAUUUUUAUUGGGUGAGGCUCAUCUCAUUUUAUUUUAGAAAGGGAUAACCUAAAAGCAACUAUAUUUUCUUAUUUUUAUUAGUCUCUAAAACACAAAGAAGGGAAAACUUAGUUGACUAACACGUGAGAAAGGUCUAAAAUUCUAUAAUUUGAUCUUGACCGAUUAAGCUUAGGAACUGAAAUAAAGAAUUCAAAAUAGGCCAAGUUCGUUUACAAAACAAUUCAAGCCCCGCAAUACCAAGACUGUUUCGAUGCCCAAAAGUUUUUCACCUCCAACAGUAUGCCAAUUCAUUUAACAAGCAUUUACUGAACUUACUCUCCUUGUGACCAGUGUUCAGCAAUUGUUUACAGGAUAUUGAUCAUUUGGAUUCUAAUUCUGACUCAAGUUGUCCUCAUCUAUUUACCUAUUAGUGGGUUCCUGAAUACCUUGUGAGUACAUAUGUUGGCAAUUGGGCUGAUAUUUGGCCUAUUUUGUUUAACAACUUAAAUGGAAAUGGACAAAACACUGCCUAAACUAUGAGCAACAGAACUUAUGGAACGUUUAGAACUAAACUGCUACCUAUAAUUCAACAAUUUACAUCCUUCCUGUUGAUAAACAUAUUCAUUUAAAGCUCUACACACAUCUACUACUAAUUGAACACCAAGCAACUAGUGUUUAACUUUUUACUUCUAUACAAAUCUGAGGGAAGGAAUAGUCCUCAUAUAGUCCGGAUACAAAUCAAAAUGAUUCAAAUCAAUAGAAGUAGUCUAAAUUUAAUUACAGUGAACACUCUAUCAUACACUACAACAAACCACUUAAUAGAACAACAUUAUCAACAUAAUGGAACUACAACAGCUAUUCAACUUCAGUUUCAUUUCAUGAUUUCAACAGAUCGAUCUACAUCAGCACAGGCUCAGAAUAUGUACCUGGAUAAGAGAUUACAAUGACGAAAAGUGGGAGUCAGUUGAGGCAAGAAGAAACACAGCACCAAUUGAGUUCAAACAGCACAAAAUUAUGCCAAAUUUCGACCCAGAAAUAGAUAUAGAGUGCAGCAAUGUUUUGAAAUCAAAAUAGAACCAUUAGAUCAACUAAAAAUCAGCUUGAAUAACCCAUAACCAAUCGAAACCCUCAGUGAAUCACUAAAGCAUCAGAACUCAAAUAUUGGACUAAAAAACUGGAAAUCAAUCACUAAAAAUUGAAAUCAACUUGAAUUCCCUGAUAGAACAGUUCUCUCUAUGUGUAUAUAUAUAUAUAUAUAUAUAUAUAUAUAUAUACACACAUAUAAUAGAGUGUUUUUGAAGGAUUUUCUACUGUUUUUGUUGGGUUUUUUUUUCUUGAAGAAGCUAAGACCUAAGGGAAUUUCAGAUCUGGAAGCUUGGAGAGUAUUUUUGGGGAGGAAUUUUAGGUUGCCAAACUUGUUGAUUAAGGCAUGGGAAUGCCCCUUUUAUAAGCAUCAAUCAGCCUUCACAGAUUUUCUUUCUUUUCAUUUCAAUCCCUUUUUGUUUUCAGUUUAUUCCUCUUAUUCAUGACUUGUUUCCCAAGUGAUUUAUUUUUUCAGAUUUCAUCUUAGAACCCUUUCUAGAAUGUUCUUGGCAUUUUAAGUAACAACCACAAGAUUCCUCACCUUACCAUUUCCUAAACUACCCUCUCCGUGCCUUACUAUUUACUAAACCCGUCAAUUGAGCCGGAUCCGAUCGAUUUCGGACCGGACCGUACCGGUGUAAACCGAGGCCGGUCCGGCCCGGUUACUAAGGGGCCGGGUGGGCUAGGUUCGGGGGGGUCCGUUUGGGUUUUUUGUAGUUGGAACCGGGCCGGACCGGCCCGGUAUUGAUGAACAGUGCACCGAACCGGGUAAACCGGCCCGGCCCGGUACAACGAUAAUUUUUUUAAAAAAUUUUCUGAAUUUUUUGGGCCCCACAAGACCGUUGGCAACAGUCAAAAUUGGUCCAGAUCCGUUGGCCAACGGAUAUUUUUGCAAAAUUAGCCAUUUUUUGGUUAUUUUGUUGUAUUUAUUAAUAUACAAUAUUAACCCUUCUUAAAAUCUAUAAAUAUACUCCCCCUCUUCUUCAUUUCUUCACUCAAAAUUCUUAUCUCAAUCUUAAUUCUCAAAUUCUCAAUUUCUCUCUUCCCUUCAAUUUGCAAAAUUUCAUAUUCUAAUUUAAUAAUUUUAAUUUGGCUCUCUUUUCUUGAGUUUAAUUUACCGAAAAUUGUCAUUUGGAAAUUGAAAUUCGAAGUUUGAAGUUCGUGGUAACACCGUAAUUGCGUAAUCAAGUGCUCAAUUUAUUGUCAAAUUCGAUGCUCUCCCUCCAACUCUUUCUCUUAUUUAAUAUUUUAAUUGCAUAUUUAAUUUUAGCUUAUAUUUUAAUUUUUACAAUAUGUUUAAUGGUGUUAAAAGAGCGUGUAGAAAAGUUACUGGUAGGGGUGGAAGUAAAACCUUACACCUAGAUUCAUGCCAGACGAAGUUGUUACUAGAUGGAAUUAUACAUAUAUAUUUUUAAAAUGUUGCUACAAAUAUAGAUUUCCUANNNNNNNNNNNNNNNNNNNNNNNNNNNNNNNNNNNNNNNNNNNNNNNNNNNNNNNNNNNNNNNNNNNNNNNNNNNNNNNNNNNNNNNNNNNNNNNNNNNNNNNNAAGAUAAUGAAAUUGGAAUAGAAGAUGAGAUACCACCUACACCUACUAGUGGAAAUGUUGGUAGUAUUGGAGUUGGAGUUGCUAGUGCUACAAGGGGUAGCAGAUCACCAGUGGCUCCGACUUCUAAUCGUAAAAGAAGAAGUCCGGUAUGGAAAAUAUUUGAAAUAAUAGAAGGUACUAAUAGAGUUAAGUGCAAACUUUGUAACGAAACUUUUAAACAUUUGAUCGGAGGAAAUUUAGGGGAGACUGAGACACUUACAAGACAUAUGAGAUCUGACCAUCCCAUAGAAUGGGCAAUAAUGGGGAAGGAAGUCAUACAACUAUUAGCCCUACUACUGGAGGUCUAGUAAAAUAUGAUUAAAUGAGGGAUCGUGAGGAAUUAGCAAAAGUAAUUGCUUUGGGUUGUCUACCUUUUUCUUUUGCUUCUUCAUCGUAUCUUAUUAUGUAUAUUCNNNNNNNNNUAUCGCUUUUAAAUAUGAUGAAGAUCAGAGUCAUACUGCUACGUUUAUAAGUAGUACUAUUGUUGAAGUUGUUGAAUUUUAUAAUCUAAACCAAAAAGUUAUGUGUAUGUCUUUUGAUAAUGCUUCAAACAAUAAUGUCGCACUUUCAAUUUUAAAAUUGCAUUUGCAACCACCUCGUGAUGAUAUUUUUAAUGUUAGGUGUGCAUGUCAUGUUUAUAAGUUAAUUGUUAAAAGUGACCUUGAUUUAUUUUCAGUUGAGAUUACUCAUGUUAGAAGAGCAGUUNNNNNNNNNNNNNNNNNNNNNNNNNNNNNNNNNNNNNNNNNNNGAAGAGCAGUUGGUGUUAUUCAAGGAAAUAAUAGACAAUCUAGAAUAAAAGAAUUUAAGACUAAGUGUAUCCAGUAUAACCUUACACCUAGAUUCAUGCAAGCCGAAAUUAUUACUAGAUGGAAUUAUACAUAUAUAGUUUUAAAAUGUUGCUACAAAUAUAGAUUUCCAAUAACUGAAGUUGCUAAUGCACAUUGUACUGAUCCUAGGCAUAUGUUAGCAAGUGAUACUUGGGAGGUCAUUAAUGAUGUUGUUAAAUUUUUGCAUAAAUUUUAUAUUACUACUGUUGUGAUUUCUGGCGCAUAUUACCCCAAUGUUACUAUGACAUUAGUACAUAUAGCUGAAAUUUCCUUUCUACUAUCUAAAUUUAAGAAGAAAGAAAAAUAUAAGGAUGUUGUUGAAAAAAUUCAAGCAAAAUUCAAAAAAUAUUUCUUUUCAAUUCCUGUGAUUUACUUAAUUGGUGCAGUUUUAAAUCAUUCUAUUAAAAUGUCUGAUUGUCACCAAUUAAUGAAUGCUUUAUAUACUUAUAUGGAGAUUGGAGAAUUUCUUUUCAAUUCCUCCAUUUACUUAAUUGGUGCAGUUUUAAAUUCUUAUAUUAAAAUGUCUGAUUGACACCAAUUAAUGAAUGCUUUAUAUACUUAUAUGGAGAUUGAAGAAACUCAAAUCCCAAAUUUUUAUGAUUCUAUGAUCAAGCCUAAUGAAUAUUUACAACAACUACAUAAUUAUUAUGCAAAUGAAUGUGAUAAUACUGCUCCUGCUUCUGGCAAUGUUAAUCCCGCUAUGCAAUGUAGCAGUUCUGCUAAUGUUGAUGAUGAAGGCCUUGAUAGUUUUGAUAUUUUUUCUACAUUUUCUAACAGUCAAACCAGUAGCAAGAAUAUUGAUGAGCUUCAAUUCUACUUGCAGAAGCAAAAGGAGCCUCGCACAAAGGAAUUUUCACAGUCGGGAUGGUGGCAUGAAAAUGAAAAGCAAUUUCCUGUUCUUUUCGCUAUGGCUCAAGACGUGCUGAAUGUGCCAAUUUCUACUGUUGCAUCGGAGAGUGCAUUUAGCCAAGCAAGGCAANNNNNNNNNNNNNNNNNNNNNNNNNNNNNNNNNNNNNNNNNNNNNNNNNNNNNNNNNNNNNNNNNNNNNNNNNNNNNNNNNNNNNNNNNNNNNNNNNNNNNNNNNNNNNNNNNNNNNNNNNNNNNNNNNNNNNNNNNNNNNNNNNNNNNNNNNNNNNNNNNNNNNNNNNNNNNNNNNNNNUAUAUUAACCCAUGGAAAUCCAUCCUAAUUUAACACGCCAGAAGAAGGUCAAUCGGUUCAUAUUGAUUAUCAUGAACUUGCUAGGGCGAUGCAAAACAUUUGAAAUUACUACUUUACUAGUUUACUUGUUAAAAAAAAUGUAAACGUUUCAUUUUUUUUACUUUUUCAAUUUGAAAUUAAAAAAUAAAGUACCACUUGCAAUACGUGCAAUUUUUUUCCCAUCUUACUUGUAUUCAUUCAAUUAUUACAAAGUAUUAAUAUAACUUAAUAGUUAUACUAUACAUAAUUCCAAAAAAAAAGUGAAAAUAUACAAAACCCGGCCCGGCCCCCUCAACCCGUAACCCGUAUGGUUCAAUUUUUACCCGAACUAACCUAGCCCGCUACGAACUCGUUACUGUGCAACCCGGCCCGGCCCGGCCCGGAACCCAGACGGGUAAAACAAAUUGACCCGGACCGGCCCGGUUGGCCUGUUAGACACCCUAAACUGUCCAAACCUUCACCUCAGUUAAACCAUGGUUAAAAAGUUCAUUCAAACCAAUUAUUAUUAAAAAACUUAAGUAUAAAAGUAGAAGGCUAAUCACCUUUAAACUGCCUUAUUUAUAGUUUUAUACUAACCAAAUAAUUCUAUCAGAACACAUAAAAAAUGCAGACAGAGUCCUUAAUCAAUAACUUGACGAACGAAUCAUGAAUCCAAGCAGAAUGCCUUAUAGAAGCCUAAACAUGGUGAAUUAAAGAGACUUAUUGAUUAAUACGAAUUAAAAGGAUAAAGCAAAAUCGAAUUCUAAUCUGGUUAACUUAUGAUCAGCUAGAAAUAUAUAAAAAAAUGAACAGAUCGAACAACCAAACACCAGAUAGAACAAAGCUAGAAACAAAAGAUAUAAAUGCCAAUUAAAUGGAAUUCAACUAAUGUGAGAACAACAGCAAUGGACUAACGCAAAAUGAAGAAAAGAAGAAAAUUAAAACUCACUAGCAUGGCUCAAAACUUGAGUGUCCCUUAGUUUGCAAUUUGAAUGAGUCUGAUGAUAUUUGGAUGCUAUUGACAUCGGAUUCCCUAUGAGGAAGACGAGGCGACCUUAGCGUAUUAAUUUGAGACCAAACGGAGGAAAUAAGGACUUGACCGCCAUUUUUAACCGAAGAUUCGAGUCGUUGCACACUGAUUUGAGGAAGAUUCUUUAUGGAUCGGUGAUGAGACGGUGGACGAGGCUUGGUGGUGUAUAUUUGGACCAGUUUGGGCGGCAGCGGCGCUGUAGGCGGUAGAGACGGCGACUACAAAAUUAAUCAUUCGAAAGUUUGGAGUGGUAUUCGAAGGGAGACGAAGGCAGACUCAUGAAGAGGGCGCUGAGGCGGUAUAGGGGUGUAAAUAUUGGUGCCACCGGAGACAGUGGCGAUUUCUCCGGCGGCGGUGGCGGCGGCGUUACAGGCGAGGGAGUACGAGGAAGAAUGGGGUGUGUCUCUAGGGAUUAUAUCAGUUUUCAGACACUUUUAUGUUAAUGCUUAACCCAUCGUGGGCCGUUGGAUGGAGAUGAAUGGAUGGCCAUGAUUACCUUUUAAUUUGUAAACACAAAACGACAUAACUUGGCCAGGGUACUACGUCGUUUCAAUUGCCUCUUGGGGUAAUGCUGGACCGGGUAAGGAUAGGGCCUGGGGAAUGGACUCAAAAAUGUCCCAAAUUUGGUAUUUUUAGAAGACCACUUCUUUUAACUCCUCUUCCUUUUUUAUUCCAUUUUUUUUAAUUCACUUCUUUUUUGUUGUUUUCCAAUUUAUAAUUUUGUAUUGUAUUUUUUAAAUUUUUAUAAAGAUGUAAAAAUAAAAAUAAAACUUUAAACUAAACUAAUUAAUGGCCUAAAAUUACCUUUAAAACUAUUUUGUGGUAAUUUCCAAUUAAAACAAUAUAAAUGCUAAAGUGAACUAUUUUUUUGUGAUUUUUCAUGCCUUAUUCUACGACAAUUGACUCCUAAUUAAUAUAUAAAUAUAAUUUAAAUCCUAAAUGUAAAUGCAUAUUUUUGUAUUUUUAUGAAUUAACAUGAACACAUGAAAUGUAACAAUUAUCAAGAAAUAACACCAAAAUGCACAAAAUUUGUAAACAUAAAGAAAAAUUAUUUUGUUUGAAUUUUUGGGAAUAAUUUGCUUAGGACAAAAACACGUUCUCACAGCUAUCCCUAAACUAAUUUGCGAUAAUUUCAUAAUUAAAACAAUAAAAUACAAAAAGUGAACUAUUUUUGUGAUUUUUCAUGCAUUGUUCUAAGGCAAUUUGAUCCCUAAUUAAUAUUAAAAUAUGAAACUAAAUCCAAAAUGCAAAUGCAUAUUUUUUAUAUUUUUUAUGAAUCAACAUGCACGCACAAAAUGCAACAAAUGACACAAAAAAUUGAAAAAACAAAGAAAAAUAAUUUUGUUUUAUUUUUUGGGAAUAAUUCAAAUAUAGGGCAAAAAGCACGUGCUCCCAGUCCGUGGUGCAUUUAUUCAGAGAGAGGGUAGUCUGAACCCCACCUCUGUGCGGACCAUCGUGCCAUUUUAUACGGUCCGCAUUGGCCUCUAUACAGUCGCGCUACAUUUUAUGCAGACCGUAUUCUACAUUUUUUUUUUUACUGUCUGCAACUAUUUUUCCCUGAAACUCUGAAUUAUUGAUUCAACAAAUCAUGAUUGAAUUUGUUUGCAGACAAUGGAUAAAUCUAGAGGCAAGGGUGCUAAACAACUAGAAAGAAGAGUCCUUUUGGGGUGGGAAUUAAAAGAUGAUAAAGUUUACACCCCAAGCCCGGAAAAACAUAAAGAACACAAGGAAAAUCAUUAGAGCUGCUGAUAGGGCUAUUGGUCAGUCGGGAAGUGAGUAUGAACCCUCCCGGAAGGCAUCAUCAGAUUCAGUACUAGAGUACUACCCUGACUGCCCAAAUGGAAACAGACUGAGAGACACUCUUCCACCUUCCCCCACUACCCAAGCUUCAGUGCGUGUAUCUUCUGAGUCGUCUGAAGGCUCAACUGCAGGUAGUGAAAAUGAAUACUCUACCUCUCAAGCAGAUUCAUUAUCCAGAGAGAGUGCAAUAGGAGAAGAAGAGGCAGUAGGAUAAGAAGAGGCAUUAGGAGAAGGGGGUGAACCUCAGGUGGGAGGAGUAGCAAGAACUAGAAACCUAAAGGUGUGUCAAGACCGUUUUAUAAGUGAGGUGACCUACCAUAAGUUUAGAUAAUGGUGGUCUGUGAGGAAAUUGAUUCCAGGGCAAAGUUUUGUGGAUAGAGACCUCUUACCUCACAACCCAAUGUGAGAAGACAUUUUAGAGAGAGAGUGGGCUGAGAGUACUUCAUAAGCAACUGUGUGGAUGCAAAUGAACACUUGGUCAAGGAAUUUUACACCAAUGCUUCCCAUAUCAAGAAGGGCACCAAACUGACCAAGGUGGGGAAUUUGAAAGUGAUGUUUGAUAGGAAAGAAAUAAAAGACUACUUGGGCUUCAAUGAGGAGGAUAAAUCACUGUAUCUGGAGAAGAUGGCAUUCGGUGAGGAGGCCCGUCCUUGGUUGGCACAGUACUUGGCAAUCCCAAGUACUUCCCCGAUUGGCUGAAUGUGGGGGUGAUAUCUUAAGAAGAAGUUUGAAUUUCGAGGCUAAGGGGUAGGAGACAUUCGUGCGCAGCAGACUAGACCCCACUACUCACGACAACUCACUCCCUUUUCACCGGGCGGUAUUGGUAGCAUCAAUUAUGGCGGGAUACCCGAUAAAUAUCGGGAAUUUGAUGUCUCGGGUUAUUAUGCAGGUAGUGAGUAAAUGUGAUAGAAACUACCCUUUCCCCAACUUCUUAGCUAUGUACUUCAGGGACCUAAAGGUAGAGAAGUGGAAAUUUGAUGUCAAAGUGAAAGCAAAGGCAUCGUUCUCAUGGUAAAACAUGCAGAGUGAUGACAACCCUAAAGGAGAGAACUAAAAAGGAAUAGCCACUGCUUCGACUGGACAAUCUGAAGAGCCAGUAGUGGUAGUGCCUCCUACUCAACCUUCUUCCACCUCAGUGGACAUGCCCGUAGUCCAUCCAUUUUCAUAGUUCCAGGCAUACCCUCCACCCAGAGAAAUGUGCAUUUGGCAUAUCCUCGAGGAAAUAUUUGGGUUUCUUAGUGUUGCAACAAAGAAUCGAAGUCAACCCAGACCAAAUCAAAGCUAUCGAAGCGAUACCUGAGCAACUAACUACUAAGAAGCAGGUCCAAAGGUUUACCAGUCAAAUCGUCACGCUAUCAAGAUUCAUCUGACGGUCUUCUGAUAGAUGCCACAGUUUUUUCAGCAUACUAAAAAAGGAUAACGGCCUCGAGCAGACGUCUGAAUGCAUACAAUCUCUACGAUGACUAAAAACAUAUCUAUCCUUGCCACCUCUGCUAUCAAAGCCCGAACUCGGGGAGAGGUUCCACAUCUACCUCGUCGUCUCUAAAGUGGCAGUAAGUGCAGUCUUGGUCUAAGAAAUUAAGGAUACACAAUCUCCCAUUUAUUACAUUAGCAAAACACUCGUUUAUGCCGAUACGAGGUACCCACACCUCGAGAACAUAGCCCUUACAUUAGUCAUAUUUUCAUGAAAUCUUAGACCAUAUUUCCAAUGUCACUCUAUCUCGGUCAUUACUACCUUUCCUCUAAGAAGCAUUUUACAUAGAACCGAAUUGUCGGGGAGGAUAGCCAGGUAGCCCAUCGAGCUAAGCAAGCACGGUAUCACAUAUCAGCUGCGAACAUCGAUAAAGUCGCAAGUGCUCGCUAACUUCAUCGCAGACUUCAGCACAAAGAUAAUGACUGAGGUCCAGAAGAAAGUCGUCUAAGCUUCUCUUCAAACACAAGCUAGGUCCUAUACACCGGUAGUGCAUCCAAUGUUUCUGAAUCCGGACCAUAAUCAAGGUCCCUACCGGCAAAGUAAUUCGCAGUCCAUAAGAUGCACAGAUAUAACUAACAAUGAGGCCAAGCAUGAGGUUGUAAUUGUUGUAUUGAGACCAGUGCUCAAGUAUGGGGCAAAGCAGUUGAAGCUCCGGUGUGAUUCAAGCUCGUAGUCAGCCAAGUCAUGAGGACUUUCUAAAUCAAAGAAUAAAAGUUGCAAAAAUAUUAGACCGAGAUUUGUAAGCAGCUGCCCAAGUUCGACGAAUGCCAGGUCGACCAAAUCCCGACGUGUCCAGAAUGUUAAAGCGGACAACCUCGCCAAAUUGGUCGUAACCACCAAAAGCAUCACGAUUGAUGCUAAAAGUGUAGUCUAUCUCCUCAACUCGUCGUUGGACAAAAUUGAGGUAAGGUAUGUAAGUUUAACUUGGGAUAGGCACAAUCGUUUUAUCACCUACUUAUAGGAUAGUACACUCCCAAAUGACAAAAAGGAAGCCAAAAAACUACGAAUGCAGCCGGUCAGAUAUAACCUCCUCCAUAAUGACUUAUACAAGCAAACAUAUGGUAGCCCUCUAGAGAAAUGUUAGGGUCCAAACCAAACCUAGUGCAUCCUCGAAGAAGUCCAUGAAGGCCAUUGCGUUAAUUAUUCCGGCGAUGGAGCGCUCAUUAGGUGUCUCAUAUGGGCAGGAUACUAUUGGCCCACCAUGAAAGAAAAUACCUCAAAAUUUGUGAAGAAAUGCGAACCAUGUCAUAAAUACCCCCAAUAAUUCACCAAGCGGGCAAAAAUCUUCACUCAGUCACCUCUCCAAAGUUGUUCAACAAGUGGGGAAUGGACAUCGUGGGCCCCCUCCCAGUAGGGCGAGGUAAUGCACGAUUUCUUUUAGUUUUAACUGAUUAUUUCUCCAAAUGGGUGGAAUUAGGAGAGUUUUCCCAAAUAUGCGAACAAGAGGUAAUUUCCUUUAUAUGGAAAAACAACAACUGCCGAUUCAGCCUACCAAAGAGAUUAGUUUUGACAAUGGACCCCAAUUCACAAGAAACAAAAUCGUUGAAUUCCUCGAGAAAUGGCAUAUUAAGAGGAUACUUUCAAUCCCUUAUGACCCAGCGUGUUACGGGCAGGCAGAAUCCUCCAAAGAGUUCAUAUAAAACAUCAUGAAGAAAAAACUCGAUGAUGCCAAGGGACUGUGUCCAGAAACACUCCCAGAAGUAUUAUGGGCGAAUAGAACCACCACAAAGACAAUCACAGGGGAGAUACCCUAUUCUCUGGUGUACGAAACCGAAGUAGACAUACCAGCCGAGGCUGGAGAGCCUAGCCUAAGGUACUCCCAUGAAAUCCACACUAACAAUGAUUAGAGUAGAAUGGAAAAACUCGAUGAGAUCUACGAACAAAAAGACAUGGCAUACAUAAGAAUGGUCACCCAAAAGCAACAAGCAGAAUGUUACUACAACAAGAAGGCAAAGGUUCGACCACUCAAAGUCGGAGACUACGUACUCAAGGCUAAAACCCAAGAAAGUAGAAAUCUAUGAAAAAGGCAAACUGGAACGAAAUAGGUCCGUACAAAAUUAUAGCCAAAGAAAACAAGGGUUCAUUCCAACUAGAGACAAUGGAAGGAAAACAAUUACCGAACAAUUAGAACAUUAGCCAUCUCAGUUAAACUUCUAGAAGGAAGAAACGGCCCAUAAGUUGUACUUUUUAUCCCUCACUUGAGUAUUGUCCCAUUAGGGUUUUCUCAUGGAGGUGUUUAAUGAGGCGACAAAAGGGAAACUUUAAGUAAAAGUAUGUAAAGAAGGAAAUGGUUUCUAUUUCAUUGCCCGGCUCCUCAAUACUCUCCACGUCGAACAAUAAAAGGGACUAGAUAGACCGGGACUGGGACUAGGAUACUAUCCGAUGCCCAAAGUUUCUAACUUUUUCCAAUUAUGUAAUCAGAGCAACAACUCAAAGUAAUAGAAACUUAAGUUUAUCAAAACCGCCUUAGCAAAAGGUUAAGUUCGACCGAACAAUACCUAUCGGCCCUCGGUCGCACCUUAACUAAAGGUUAAGUUCAACCAAGUUCGAACAAUACCUAUCGGCCCUUGUCUGCACCUUAAUUAAAGGUUAAGUUCGAACAACAUCUAUCGUCCCUCGACCGCACAUUAACAAAAGGUUAAGUUCGACCAAGAUCGAACAGCACCUAACAACCCUCGGUUGCACCUUAACAAAAGGUAAAGUUCGACCCAACUCAGACAAACACCUAUCGGCCCUCGACCAUACCUUAACAAAAGGUUAAGUUUAACCCAGCUCGAACAAACACCUAUCGCGCCACAAUCGAAAUUUAACAAAAGGUUAAGUUCGACCCAGCUCGAACAAACACCUAUCGCCCCACAAUUGCAAUUUAACAAAAGGUUAAGUUCGACCCAGCUUAAACAAACACUUUUCAUCCCUUAAUCGUACUUUAAUAAGGUAAAGUUUGACGGAGUUCGAACAUUGCCUAUCUUAUUGACCCACAAUUUAAUAAAAGGUUAAGUUUGACCUAGCUCGAACAAAUACCUAUUGGCCCUCGGUCGCGCUUUAAUAAAAGUUUAUAUUCGAUCGAGUUUGAACAAUGCCUAUUGGCCCUCGGCCCACAAAUUAAGGAAAGGUUAAGUUCGACCCAGCUAGAACAAACAACUAUCCGUCCUUGGCCAUAACUUGACAAAAUAUCAAAAUCAACUAAGCUCAAACAACACCUAUCAGCCAAAUCCAAACGAAGAGACAUACUUGACAUAUGUAAAUAAAUGGCUGAUAUGGCCCGUAAAUAUUCGUCCCCAAGGUUACGACCAGUUAGAAGACAACGACAAUAAAAAAAAGUACAAAGCAUAAUGAGCAAACGAUUAAAUAAAAAAUAAACAAUUACAUCAAUAAAUCACAGGAAUGGAAAAAGGUGCAAAAAACAAAUAUAACCUUCCACAUGUAAAUAAAGUGUUAUUUAUAAAGGCUUGUGAAGACGGCAGAAAAAUACACAAAAAAAGUCUAAAAGAAAAACUACUUGCCACCGUCAUCACGGCCCUCUAUGCCCUCAUCAUCUUGAUUCCCAACAUCCUUACCAUCCAUGCCGUAAGGAUAAAUGGUAUCGUAAUAGGCAUCCUCCUCGAUCCGGCCUAUGCUCUCUUCCCCACCCUCCUUGUCAGGUCAGGCAUGGCAGGAUCAUACCCACAAAUGAUUCGAGCUUCGUGAGCUGUAACCUGAGCAUCAGUUAAGGCUACCUCAGAAAUAGAUCCCAUUGCAUGCAAGUAUCUAAACACAUAUAGUUAGGCCUCAGUAUGGAUCCACUCUUUGUACAACUCCCGUAAAACAAUAGGGAAAUCAGAAGUAUUGGAAGAAGACGGUCGCACAAGUAUUUGAUCCCUCUCAACCUCUAGGAAAGUAACUCAGUCAUGAAGGUGGAAGCUCCUUUUCCAACUCCCGUGUCCUCUCCUCGAGCCAGUUCUUCUUAGCUCUUGUCAUUUAUUGAUCAUUUUCUCGCUCAGCUCGAAGAGCCUCAUUUUCCAAAUCGAGGAUUUCUUCCUCCCUCCAAGCAUUCAACCGGGCGGACUCCGCCUUCUCAUGCUCCUCCUAUUUCUCGGCAAUCUUGCUGAUGAGGUCCUCUAUCUGGAACCGACACUCUUCAAGUAGUCCUCAUAGUUGGACCACUUGGGCUUGAAGGUCAAUACAUUUGUCCUCUAUGCCCCUCCUCAGCAUCCCUUAGAGGAUGCUGCUCUUCUCUAUAGCCAGCACCAACUCCUCAUCCCUUUUCUUCAAGUCUUCCCUCAAGACCCGCACAUCCACUUCCCUCACAAAUCUGGCUUGUAGAUCCUGGUAUUUACUGCGGUACUCUAUAUACUUCCCUUUAAUCUAGAAACAAGAUCUCUUCUUUUUGCUCCUUUUCCCCCUUCGGGCACUCUCAAUUUCCAAAUCAUCAUCUGAAAAUCAAAGGAAAAAGUCAAAACUUAGAAUGCUCUAAAACCUUAGGAAAUGGUCGUACAACUAUACUUAACCUGAUAGCAAAGCCGACAAUACUCUUCGAUAGAACAUUAUCAUCUAUCUCCUUGAGUGUCUUACCCUCGACAUUGGAACAAAGAGGGUUGAGGUCAUGGACUACCUCCUAUGUGUUUGCCAACAAAUCACGAUCCAUGGGGAUCGUGAUGGUCCUCGAACCUGCCUCCUAUAUCACUUUGAGCUAGGUAAGCGCCUCGUCGAUCAUUAUCAAGUGUUUAAAUCAACAUUGGAGCCUAACUCGUUGCCAUCCUCAUCAAUAAUUUCCCCUAUCAUCAGUAGGCGAGGAGGCAUCCAUUGCCAUUCGGGAGUUUGAAGCCUCCUCUUGUCAUGAAAGUGCAUGCCAUCACCAACAGCCACCUCCUCGAUCUCCCCCUCCCCAACCAAAUGCAAGGGCAUUUUUACAAUCUCUUAUACCGGCCUCGGGGUCUCAAAACUCGGGUCAAUAUCAUUUACAAAAAUUAUCAAUGUUUCAUGUAAUGUGAAACCUCUUUAAAUGGUGUCCACUGUUGAAGAUUCUACUACCCACAUCUACGAACCUCUUUUUUCGAGAUUGAAGAUCCACAUUGUUGGGAGAGUUUUCAUUGGACUCAUCAACAAGUGAAUAUAGGGGAGGAGAAAAAGUCACAAUGGUUGGAAUAAAAAUAAGGGCAGAAGCAACGACAACUAUAAUUGGGACGAAGGCAGCAGUGGCAAUAGUUGAAAUAGGAGCAGAGAUUGAAGGCGUAGUGUCCCUCAUUUUUUUGAAUGAGGGUACGUGGGGCCUCGACCUCCUCGCAGUUCCUUUGACCGAGCCUAGAAAAAAAUUGAGAAAGAAUGGAUCAGCCAAAAGAACAGACAUAGACAGAAGAGCAACAUCGUUGAUAAUAGGGAAGAGAUUACCUGCCAAAGGAAGAGACGGUCUAAGUUUCUAAGAAAAACUCGACCAAUCACAUAUCCCUGCCAUUUGAGAAAGGAUUUGUCUGACCCAAAUGACAAUAUGGGUCACCAACCGGAGAGCACGUGCGGUAGCUGCAUAAAAAGAUGAGGCGAUUAGCUAAACCACAACAAGAAAAAUGUUAAAAAGGCACAAACAUUACGAUCACUUGUGAGUGGUGUUUAAGGCCUCAGAAAGUCAACGGCAGAGGACAUUUCAGCCCCAGUACUGACAAAAAAAUCAAGUUAAAAUUGAUGACUAGCCUUGUCAUCUAUCCUUACCACUAAUAAUUUCCCCCUACGUUGGCGAAGAUUUAGCAACGACCCUCGAUGGAAAUGGGGGGCGAAGAGAUGAAUCAGGUACCGUAAUCUCGACGUCAACCAAUUCAGUGAAAUUCACUGACAUUAUGACCACGUUGAAGACAGGGGUGAGCUGUGUUGGGCAUACGUUAUAGUAGCAGCACAAUUCUUCUAUCAACAAUGGCAAAUGGAACAAAUAGCUUAUUAUGAACGGAUAUGUGUAAAGGUUGCAAAAUUCAGGACAAUGGACCCACACUUCAUCAUCACCCGCGAGGACCAACUCCACGUGACCAGGAAGGACGAGUCUAGCAUUACAUGCACAAUCUUAUUUUAGACUAGAACAUCUCGGUCACCACUUCUGGCGCCUUGUGGAAGUCGAGUUUGGCGUUAGGGUACCGAGGUACCUCUACAAUAGAGAGGAUUUCCUCCUCAACAGUAACUGCAAUGUAUUCCUCUGAUUAGGGAAAAUGAUAUCUAGAGGGAGAUAAUGAUCUUCCAUAUGGAUAUGGGAUAGGAAGUGCGACCUUGCUGUAGAAAAAGACAAAGAAAUAGAGAAAGCCAUAGAUAAGCGGUAAAGUCCUACGAAGGAUAAGAAAGAUUUCUGCGUAUAAGAUAGAAUGAGUGUGGGAAAACUUCAAAAUCAAUGAAUCAUCCCAUAUUGAUAAGGUUUGGGGGCACCAUAAUCAACAUGGUUGGUCAUAAUUUGAAUAAAGUUCGAAACGGUAGAACCAAUCAAGGGCCACACGAGUAUCAACACUAUGCAUGGAAAAAAACGUCUUCAUAACAUCACUCCUUCUCAUGGACAAAAUGGCUCCAACAAAUUACCUAAAAGAGUCAAGGAAUUUGAAAUACGCGGCCAUGGAGAGCCACAUUGCCUGAUCGACACAACGACCACGGCCCGUAAAGUUUGCUUGAUAAGUUUGACCACAAACGACAUUACCCGUGAGGACGAUAUCAACAAGCGGAGGGACUAACUGUAUGAGCAAAAAUUAUCUUUGAUAUAAGCGAACCACGUCAACAUCAAGAGAGCCUUCAUAGGCCUAUGUUAUUAGUAUGACUUCAUAAAGGCAUGCCCGAGGUCGAAGUAAUCCCGUAAGAUAUGAAGGGUGAGGUCCAAGAGAAAGCAAAAACCAAGGUAGAAGAGUCAUCAUAUCAAGGUCGAGGUCGAGCAUCUUAGAUAGAGUUAUAAUGACUAGUUUUAGGAUCAAACACAAAAGAGAAUAUUUUAGUGGAUAUUCUCAGUACCUGUACUAUUGGAUUUUUUGGGUAUAUGUUCCCUAUAUAUAGAAAGAAAUUAUAGGGGCCAUAAGAUAUUCACUUGUAACAAAACACAUUGACUUUAUAGUGAGAAUUUGGGCUUAUUGCAACCAUACAAAAAAUACCUCUUUACUAAGAUUCUUGCCUAAUAUUUCGCUUGACCCAAAACAAACUGAAUGUUCAAAGACUCACCAAUCAUUCACCAUUGUCAAAAACGAAUAUCCAUAGAUUUCGUCCCUUUUCGGGGGAUUCAUAUGCUCUUAUUCACUUAAAUGUUAUUCAAUACUAUUUAUUGUUAAUUAAUGGUAUCUUCCUCCUUUGAAUCAUUGAAUAUUAUUAGUAUUGUUCACAUUUAUUACCAUUCGGUCAAACAUAUAUAUUAUUUUAUUUUAAAAUUAGUUAACACAUCUUUUGAAUAUUAAUAUUGACUAAUAGUGGUUCUAUUUUAUAAAUCUAAUUGGUUGAAUUCGGAUCUAAAUUUUGAAAUAGGCAGAUUUACAAGGACUCAUUCAAAUAUAGCACAGUUUCAAAAGUAAUAGAAAUUUAAUAAUUUUUCAUGUAAAGAUAAAUCUGAACGGAAACACUGUUCAAAAUUCAAAAAAAAAAUAUUCCAACAUAAUGUACCAAAGUUUCAGUAUAAUAUAGCAGUCCAGUAUAAUAUGCUGGAAGUUCAUAGACAGGCGCACCGAACUACAGUAUAUAUUAUGCUGGAACGGUCUCUAUUGCAGUAAAAUAAUGGCUAUUUUUUAUUGAUUUGGUGAAUACUGGCUAUUUUUAAAUGACCAGUCCGAAAACUGGCUAGACCGUGUUAUUUUAACUAAAUUCCAAUAUCUUAUCUUUGGGCCUUCAGUAUGUUCAACUAUUUAUAUUGCCUCCUUCUAUAUUGUCUGGCUUUUAGACCUUAAAUAGGGCUACUGACUCAGGAACUGAGGAGAUUUUUAUCUUGGAGAAUGUUAUAGUAUGUAGCAAUUGUUUUCUUCCUCUUUCUCUGAGAAUGUAUAUUAGUUUAUUUUUCUUAAUUUCUCUUCUGAUUAUAAGAAAAAAAUUUGUAUAUAACCAAAAAAGUAAGGAAAAAAUUUAUUGUGAAGAAAACUAUAAGUAAAAUGAUGGAAACUUAUCCAAUAGACAAUUUGGCAUGUUAAAAUAUAGGAGUUUUGACACAGUUAUCUAUAAAAAUAAAAAUAUUUACUCUUGUAUAUUCAUUUAUUUUUCUACUCAUAAACUAAUUACAUUUCCUACUCAUAGUAAUUUUUGUGAAAUUUUUUUUAUUCUCCAAUUCUUUUUUAUUUCUAUGCUUCUUUUCUUUUUCUUUUUUUUCUUUCUUUUCUCCUUUUCUUUUCUCUCAUUUUCUUCCUAUUUUUUUAUUUUUUCUCUUUUUUUCAUUUAUUAAAGGUUAGUCCAAUCCAAGACCAAACAAGGGACGCCUCAGUAAGCAAGGACCCCAAAUAGUAUUAUUACCAUGAUUUAUUUCACACUCAAAUUUGACUCCUUUUUUUUCUUCUUUAUUUCUUAUUCCUUUUCUAAUUUCACGUGAUUGCCAUACAAACCUUGAUCUUCUUUCCUACAAAUAUCAGUACAUACUCUACUAUUAGCAGUAAUACCAACCAGUGAUGGAGCAAGAAAAUAUAAUAUACUGCCACUUAAUCUGCAUAUAUACUAGUUAGAAUAGAAAUUAUAAUAAAAUAUUGGAAAAUGCACAAAUAUAUAAGUUGCAAAAAAGACUUCAGUAUCAUAUGAUACCAAUAUGGUAUACAUCUACACCAACAGAGUAUAUGAUUUCUCUAGAAUAUUGAAACAACUAUCUGUGACUAUACUACUGUACCAAAAUAUUAAAUGAUACAAUAAAAGUAUGAAAAAAUUACAUGCUCGCAUUGCAAGUUAAAUAUUCGCAAAGCAACUUGCUCAUUCCAUAUGCUAACAGGGAUAUAAUUGUAUGAGUCAUUCCAACAAUUAUCUAUAAUUAUAAAAACUAUUACAUAAUACACAUAAUCUAUAUCCAUCAGCACACAAAAAUCCCAUCACUGCAAAUCGCAUUCAUAUAAAUAAUUACAUGAUAAAAUUCACUUAAAAAUGCAACCAAAACAGCCAAAAAAUGUUCAAACUACCAUAUGAUACUAAUAUGGGAUAUAAUUAUACAAACAUUGUAUACAGUUUUACUGAUUAAUUUUCGGCAACUAUAUGACUAUAUUACUAUUACAUUACACACAUGAAUAAGGAGAAAAAUAAAAAAAUAGGGUACCACAUAUUAAUAUAUAAAGUAUUUUAAGAUAUUGUACUAUAUUACUAUUAUUAAAAUAAAAUUAAAUAUUGUACUAAUAAAUGCAACUAAUACAACUAGAAAAUUAUUCAACUAGCAUAUGAUAUCAAUAUAGUAUAUAGCUAUACUAAUAGGGUACAUAGUUGGAAUAAAUUAUAUACCAAAAUGGUAUAUUUGUAUACUAUUUGAGUAUACAAUACAAAUUCGUCUUCUUCUCUUGUUCAACUAUAUUUCAAUCCAAACAUCUAAAAUAUACUACAAAAUUUAUUAAAAAUAGAUUAAAAGAUCGGAAGAGCGUCGUGUAGGGAAAGAGUGUAGAUCUCGGUGGUCGCCGUAUCAUUAAAAAAAAA
rnacentral:lncRNA from 1 species